rnacentral:lncRNA from 1 species
AAUCUUUUGGUCGCGACUUCUUUAAUUUGGCCGUAGCAUGUAUUUAUAAUACAUGUCUCCUAACUAGAGUCUAAUUCUAAUUAGAUUAGAAUUACACUCCUAAUUAUAAUCCAUAUAUGCCAAAUUAAAUCUAAAUAAUAUCUAAUCCCAAUUAGAUUAGGAUUUAUCCUCAAUUUAGAUAACUACAAAUCUAAACCAAAUAUAACACAAUCAAUGGUCUAUGCCUAUCAUUAGAUAUCCAUGCGUUGAAUGAUUCAGAAAUAUUGUUAGUCAAGUAAUCACACUUAGCAAUCGUUCCGAAUUUACUUCGACUCCACAAAUAACUAUGGUUUUGCCGCAAGUAUUCAAUAGCCAUUGGAUUUGCUUCAUACACCUUAGCGAUGCUAGUUUCGUAAACAUUAGGUAUAUAUGCUUUCGCUGCGGCCCACAGAUUGUCUCUAUAGCAGUCCCCAAGAAAUUUUUUUUUGAAGUUGCCAUAAAGAUGGCGCAUGCAUUCUCUAUGUUCAACUCUUGGAUACACAACUUGAACGGCCUCAUCUAAGCUUUUUUGUCUAUCCGAGAAGAAUACUAGGCCUUCGGAUUCUCCUAUUGCUGUCUUCAACCCAUGAAGAAACCAUUCCCAACUAUUCGAGUUCUCCGACUCCACAACACCAAAAGCUACUGGAAAAAUUGAUUUAUUUCCGUCAAUACUUGUGGCCGAUAUCAAAACUCCUCUAUGCUUUCCUUUGAGAUGACAUCCAUCUAAUGCAAUAUAAGGUCUACAUCCAUUGAGGAAUCCUUGUAUGCAUGGACCAAAUGCAAGAAAAACUCGCUGAAAAUGAUGCUCUUCAUUAAUCACUUGCAGCUUUACUUCCACGUGGCUGCCGGGAUUUCUUCUAACAAUUUCCUCUUUAAAAUUAUAGAUUCUUUGAUACGAAUACUCCCAAUGCCCAUGAAUCUUAGACAAUGCCAUUUCUUUUCCCCUAAAUAUCUUGGAAUAGGUCAAGUCCACAUGAUAUUUUUGUUGCAGUCUCUUCCGCAAUUCAGUUGUAGAUAAAUCUCCUUCCAACCGUAGCCACUCAAUAACCCUAUUGCACACCCACGAUUGUGUUGCCACUUUGUUCCGACACCUAUUGGCCGACGUGCAUGUGUGCUCUCCUUGUAAAGUCUUUAUCUAUCACGUAAAUGUUAGUUAGAAAUAUCAGCAACUUUCAUUUAUAAAUGAAUGAUACUAAAAGUACAUUCAAGAAUGAAAAGUGAAAAUAGGAUAAUGUUGGUAUUACCUGAAAAACUAAGGAAUCUUGAAGUCGAGAUGCAUGGAUUCGCCACUUGCAAUUAGAUUUUGCGCACGUUGCAGUUACCCUCAAAAGAUCACUUUUUUGUAGGUUAUACUCAAACUCAUUUAGUAGGGCAAAAUGAGUCAAUGCAUCUCUAAAUGAACCUACAUUUGGAUAUUUUGCUCCUACUUCCAUAAUAGGGUUAUUCACAUCAUAUGAAAAUGUUCCUACAUGAUCCAUAUUAUCCUCUAAAUCAGAAUCAUCAGUUUUAAGAGAACGAAAGCUAUCUUCACUUAACAUUGCAUCUGAUUCAUCAACUGGUUCUUUAGCAACUUGACCAACAUCUUCACCAAAUGCUUCACCAAUAUUUUCACCUAUAUCUUCAUCAACUGCUUCUUCGGCGACUUGACCAACAUUUUCACCAAUUGCUCCACCAAUAUCUUCACCAACACCUUCACCAGCACCUUCACCAGUACCUUCACCAACACCUUCAUCAACACCUUCACCAACACCUUCAUCAACACCUUCACCAACACCUUCACCAAUACCCACAAUGUUAUCAUCAAUCAUAUCAAUAUUGCCCUCUUGUGUUAGAGUUUUUUCACCAUUAUAGUUUAAUGAAAUGCCUUGCGACUGAAUAGUUAUAAAAUUUCUGCUUCUUUCAUGUCAUUGUAUAUAGAAAAUAUAGCCAUCAACUCCUGCUCAGAGAUUGCUUGAAUGAAUUUCUUUGACUUAACAUUUCUUGCUAUAUACCAUAUACCAAUGUUCUCCGUAACACCACAAUCCCAUAGUGAUCGUACAUCUCGACAAAAUUCAGUAAGAUUGUAACUAUCAAGGUCUAUCAUCAACGAAUGCUUCUUACCAUCACAAUAUCUCAGUCCACAUGCAGUUUUUACUGUUUUAAAAUACCCAGCAUAAUUGAACUUCACUUUGGAAAAACCAUGCUCCUCCCUAUCUAUGAUCAAACUGCCACUGUAGAAACAAAAAAAAAAAUAAAAAUGACUAGGUUCUAUACUCGUAUGCUCUAUGAAAAUAUGACAAUAAUUAUAUAGAUCUAACUUGGAUGAUUCAAGCCUACUUCUUAAGGCCAAAAUUAUUUUAAAAAAUUAACCUAAAAUACUAGGGUUUUUUUUCCAAAACUAACAAUCAGAUAAAUCAAGUUUUUGAUUUAUAGUAUGUAGUGCACUAACCUUGCUCUAGUAAUGAAAAAAAACUAACAAUCAGAGGAGCAAUACACCUCGUUGAUGAAUAUGAUGGAAAAAACCCUAGUAAUGGUAGAUCUGAAGCUUGAGGAAGAGGAAUAGGAAAAGGAAAAGGAAGAGGAAGACGAGCAAUAAACCUCGUUGAUCUGAACCUCGUUGUUGCGCGAGGAAGACGAGCACUAAACCUCCUCGAUCGCGGGCGCUCUCCUUGCAUCGCGGUCGCUCUCCUCGCACUCUCGGGCGGAACACCUGAGGGCUCUCCUUACGGUUUGGUUCCACUCAACUAGGGUUAAGGGCCCACCAUAGUAGUUAGGUAAGUUAAUAGGAUAUAACAUAAGAGGGGCAAACUAGUCAAUUCACACUAUUAACUAAUCAUGGUUAAGUAGUUUAACUGUGGUUAAAUAAAUUUCUCUAACAGACUCUAACAGCAAGGACAUAUCUGCAUAACAUUGCACUUUUGCAGGGACAACUUAUGGAGUUUCCAAUUUGCAGGGAUAUUUCUGCAAUUCACUAUGUUUGCAAGGACGUGUAUGCAAAUAACCCUAUUAUUUUUAUCUAGAUGUGAAUAGAUAAUAAGAGGUUGUUUUGUUCACCUAUUUUAGAUUAAGAAAUUAGAAUGAGAUUCAUUAAUUUUGUUUUAUAGGAAUUAGAUGUCGAUUUCCACUUUGGAAUGGGAAUAAGCCCAAUAUCCAUUUAUGGCUUAAUCCGGAUUAGAAUCUCAGACGGACACAUUCUAAAAAUAAUCAGUCAAAAUGUUCUUUCAUAAACGUCUCCCUCACCACCUCCUUUAUCACUCUUCUCUCUCUGAAUCAAAACAUUCUCUAUCAAAUUUGUAAAUAUUAAUUUUAGUUUUUAUUCUAAAAAUAAAAAGUUUUAGAUGAUUCAUUGUUUCAUUUUUUAUUUUAGUGCAAUUCAGUUUUAUUUUUUAUACUAUUUCUCUUACCAACCAAACAUGCCCUAACUAUGGGUAUGAAUGUUUUGGAUAUAAUAUUUGGUUCGUUUUCUAAAAUACGGAGCUCUUUCACAAAACCAGCUAGCUAGUCUUUAUGGGUGUUUGGUCUAGCUUUGAAAAAUGAUUUUCAGGCCAAAGGUAAUUUUUGGCUCAAUAGAGAUUUUGAUAAUCUCGUUUUUAAAAUUCGAUUCUAAUUUUUAGAAUUAGAUUUUAAUCUUCAAGGACCAAAAUUAGAAGCAACUAAAACCUGUUACUUGGAAUAUGAUUCUUAUUUUAUACUCAAAAUUCAAUUUUUUUUUAUUUUAGAUCCAAGUUCUAAAUUUAAAUUCAAAUUUCAAUUUUAAUUUUUAAAUUUUAUAUUUAAAUUUUUAAAUUUUAAAUUUUAAAUUUAAAAAUUGAAAUUUAGAUAUUCAAUUUAUAAUUUUAAGUCUUAAAUUUAAAUUUCAAAUCUCAAAUUUUAAAUUUUAAAAUUCAAAAUUUUAAAUCUCAAAUUUAAAAUUUAAGAUAAUUUGUAUUUUAAAAUUUUAGAAUUUAAAAUUUAAAAUUUAAAAUCUAAAAAUUUUAUAUUUAAAAUUAUAAGUUUUUAUUUUCAAAUUUUAAGAUUCAAAUUUUUAAAUUUCAAAUUUAAAAUUUAAAAAUUUUAAUUUAAGUUUUAAAUUUUUAAUAUUUAAUUUUAUUAUUAUAAAUUUUAAUUUAUAUUUAACUUUGAAUUUGAAUUUAAAUUAGAUGUUAAAAAUUGAAAUUUUUAGUUUUAAAUUUCAAAAUUUUAAAUUUUUUUAAUUAAAAAUUACAAAUUCAUUUUUCUUUUGGCUAAAUUCUCAUACAAUUACAAUUUAAAUUUAAAUUCCAAAAUUCAUUUUUAAAUAAAAUUUAGUGAAAAAGUUAUUAAUAGCACAAAGUCUUUUUUUUGCAAAUAAUUGUUAUAAAAUUAAUUUUUUAUUUAAACUUAGUUAUGCUUUAUAAUUCUUAUCAAAUUAAUUUUUCUACAUUAAAUUUAAUUUAAUUUUUUCAAAAUUUAGGGAGAACGGGCGUCCUCUUGAUUCCCCAGAUGAUUUUCAGUUCGCUCCUCUUAGUUUUUUUUGGUGCAAAAGCGAGGCACUCCUCGGUUGAAUCGCCAACUCUCUUGCUCGUUCACAAAACUCUGCGAUCUUUCCUUCCACUUUCUCUGUCUGUCUCAAUCUUGCUCGCUGCGUGCUCGCCUUUUGGCCGGGCGUUGUCAAGGAUCAAUCAGGGAAAUUUUGUUACCUAUCCAUAUAACUUUUUGCUUUGUAUGUGCUGCUAUCUAUGAUUGUUGGAUUUGCUUGACUUUAUUUAUUCUAAUUUCAUUUUGUUUUUUUCUAUAUAGCGUAUUAUUUUUGAAUUAUACUGCAGUUUUAUUCGUUUGAUGAUUUAAUAUAUAAUAUAAGUAUUAUCUGAUAUUAAUAUACAAUAUUAUAUAUAUAUAUAUAUAUAUAUAGAACUAGGCUGGAAUACUAUCAAUAGCACCAAACUAUUGGUGCUAUUGAUUUUUUAGCCAUUGGAUUGAGAAAUGGAUGGUUAGGAUGAUGUGGGCCCCCUAGGAUUGAGUGAGUGGUUGGUUGAAUAGUAUAAUCUAAUGGGUAAAGAUAAUCAAAGGGUUAAAUCUAACGGUGGAAAACUCGAUAGCAUCAAAUCCUUGGUGCUAUCGAUAGUACCCCAGCCGGACUAUAUAUAUGUGUGUGUGUAUAUAUAUAUAUAUAUAUAGAGUGUAGUGUCCCUAGUGUUUAGCGGUCUAUGUAAUUUCAGCAUCUGUGGCUUGUUGGCACGUCUGGUGGGUAUCGAGACAAGUCGGAAUCAUUUUGGUGCGAAAUUGACGCAAAACGGACUUAGCGCGAUGCGAGAGUGGAGUUCUGACAUUGAAAUCUGCAAAGUGCAGGAUUUCAGUGUUGAGUACCGGUACCUGAGGAGGAGUACCGGUACCCCAGUGAGAUUUCAGAACUGGAUGCUCUCGGGUUUGCGUAUGUUGAUGCUGAGUACCGAUACCUAUUGUCGAGUACCGGUAUUGAGCUCGGGUACCGAUACUGCAUCGGGCUGGUAUUGGUACCCAGUGUGCGGGAUUAAGGAAAGAGAGGCCGAGUACCGGUAUCCAAGUUGGGUACCGGUACUCCAAAAGGCAAAUUGAGUAGAUAAGGAGCUUUUUGGUCUUUUGUUAGCGUUAAAACCAAACCAAACCCCCCAGCCUUCUCUUUUGUGCCUGAGGUUGGUGAAACACAGGUUGGCUUCUCUCUCUCUCUCUCUCUCUCUCCUUAAUUUUUCCUUGCAUUUUGUUGGGAACCUGAGGUUAGAGCUCGUCAUUUCCUUUGUGUCGUAGGAGGGUUGCACGCGCGCCGUGGUGGAGUCCGGUUGAACCGUCGGAGGUCGAGCGAGCGCGCGAGGUGUCUCCUGUCGACUUCUUGCCGACGUUGGACGAGCACUCGAGGUGGGUUAAUAUUUACCGAAAUCGUCGGAUUUCCUCCUAAGUCGUAGUGUUGUCAGCAUGUGUGUCACGCCCCGAGCCCCGCCUAUUUGGUCGGGUUCGGGCACACCGACAGACCGCCGAACGGACAGAGUCUCCCCUGUAUGUCCUAGGCGUCACAAUCGAUACAAGUACAAGAAGUUCCAAUCAGGAACAGUAUUCAAGCAAGAUUGCAUAAGGAAGGUAUCAAACAACAUAACACAUCCUAUGUUAUUACAAGCAUUCCUAUUAGAUUCAUUUCUACAUCACAUUAGCAUUAUUAUAUUACAUUUUCUUCCAAAUACAAUUAAUGAUCGCAAUAUUAUUAUAAGUUUGCUCUUUUUUUUUUCUUUUUCCUAUACCCCUAGGCUAUGCAGACUCGGGGUACCUCUAUCUCUGGUCUCUGGGGUAGGGCGCUAUCUAUGGAGCUACGCCCUCACCUUGCGCCGCCGCGCCGCUCACGUGCGAACCUGCAACACCCCAAAACAACAUGGGGUGAGAACCAAUUCCAUGGUUCCCAGUGGGUACGGCCACCCAAGGGAAAAGCUCGACCAAUAGGUCUAAGGAGGCCCUGCAACAUGUUAGUCCAACAGAUAUCCAACAGAUAUAUAUAUAUUCAAGUAUUGAAAUACAUGUUGUGCCUCACGAUAUGCAAUAUGAAAUUCAUGCAGUUUAUGCAACCAUGCAACCAACUAGUAGUUCAAUCGAUACUACUUUUAUUCCUGUUAUUCACAGUUCAACCAAUUGACCUCUAAGUUUUCCUCUAUCUUAGAUUCUUGUCAAUUACAGUUCUGCUCAUAGAGUUUAACCUACUAUUAUAAGCUAUCCACUCGACUCGGUUUUGAGUCAAUCACACGCGGAAUACCGCACAAUGCCAGACUCAAGGUGAAGGAUGUCUCACAUGCACCUCAGCCCUAAAUCCACUCAACUGGGAUGCAACUAAAACUCAUAUAAUGCAUUAAAUAGUAAAGGUUUACUAUCAUGCUAACGAAUUCGAUCCAUAUUCGAAUAAUAAUGUUCAAUGGCAUUGUUCACUAUCUUUUACCCAAUCUGUAGCAAAGCCCUAUAAUAACAACAACAAUCUGCGGAAUACGCAAAAUCUGCGUACCGCCCAGACCCGUGCACGGCCCGCCCGAAGGCGACCCAGGGCCCCGCACUGUGGUGUGGUGCACCCGUCCACUGUUCAACUGCGUCCACAUAGAACUGCUCUAUCACUCUGACGUAACCCACGGUUUCAGCUAUUACAACCUAGCGUUGGGGGCCAAAUGGAGUGUGAAGACCUUCUCGGACGUCUUUUGGGAAUCGUAUGCCGAGCUAAAAUCAUAUCGUAAGGUAGGAGUCUGUCUACCCGUUUAUCUUUCCUGGUAAAUUUGAGACCUCCUAUACGACGUCCGCAUACAGUAGCUGAUAUUCCCCUCAACCACACUAGUAAACGGCUACCGGCUCAAGCGGAUGUUGUUGUCAAAAGUACGUUCAUAUCUCUACCGUGGCAAACUCCGGGAGAUACCCGCCUUCACAGCCAGAGGAUAUGUGAGCCCACUACACCCACUCGUACAUCUCAAGCCGGGUCUGCACAACGCUCUUCGUCUCCUCUUUCAGGCGGAACGAGCGUUCGCUGACGAGUGCCGCGUCAGCUCUGUCUUUUCGAUACGACUAUCCGCGGCAGCUCUGUAUCUUAGAUGCCACCCACUGGCGCAUAAGAAUUUUCAAAGCGGUUACACCCACACUUCGCCAAACCUCACGCCCUUUCAAUUCAGGGGACAUAUAACUUGGUAUACUCUAUAACCUCGCUCAACCGUGCCAUCGGAUAGCUGAACGGAACGGUGGCUUCGAGCGCCUACAUGUGUUACACAAGGUACAGAGGUUGGAAGCGUUCAUGUAAAUACUGGAGAUCGUACGCUACGAUAUACUUGGCGGCCUUGAAGUUCUUCUGAACUCGAUGCUCCUUAAAGGCCACUACCAAUAGCGGGUUCUUCACGCUUUUGACGCUUUAGCGCUCUAAGGGAUGUACUUCUAGGCCACCUCGUUAGUACUACUAGCGCUCCGGUGGACCCUUGAGCUCUUAGACUACUCUUUCGUAGUAGGAGUGAAUAAACUCCUUAUUCCAUAUCUUUGACUCAAAAUUAAUUCAAGUUAGUCAAAGCUCCUACUUUGAGGAAAAUUCCUCCCCUCCUACAUUCCUUCACUUAAGAGCUUUAGGCUCUCAACCUGAAGUAGGUCUUAGCUGAUUAACAGCUCACCCAUCCGAAGCCUUUUCAAUUUCUAAAAGUUUUGUGUUUUUCAUGAAACCUCAGUUCAGGCGCUCUCGUUUCUACGUUUUUAUACGUAAACCGUCCAAGACGAGAGCCCCUGGCCAGGGACCGCCACCCCUGGCCAAGGGCAUUCGUUCUUACGACCGUCUCUUCCCCAGACGCGACUCAACGAGAGCCCCUGGCCAAGGAUCGUUCCUUCCUGGCCAGGGGUAUUGACUCCAACGCCGUCUGUCGAUUACGUUGGCCAGGGACCGUUCUUCCCGGCCAAGGGUAUUCGCAUAAACCGACUCCACGAGAGCCAUCCCUACGUUUACCUAGGCCCAACCACCUCGAGGUGGGGCUAGGCGGGGCUUACCCCACCAUUCACCCUUUUGUUUUAUAUCUUUUUAUAUUGGGCGGGGCUUAGGCGGGGUUAGGCGGUUCAUUUACCUCGCCCUCCGCCCUCUGAGAAAAGAAGGAAGUUAGAUGGGGCUAGGCAAUUUUUAGGCGAGGGCGGGGCGAGGGCGGGAUUAGGCGGAGCUUACCUCGCCAUUCACCCUCGGUUUUUUAUUUUACUUUUCAUUGGGCGGGGCUUAGGCAGGGCGGGUCUAUUUUUUACCUUGCCCUCCACGCCCUUGAGAGGGCGGGGGCCUAGGCGGGGCAAACGUAGGGAUCGAGAGCCCCUGGCCAGAGAGUAGCCCUCCUGGCCAGAGGGUCCCUGGCUAGAGAGCACGUCCCUGGCCAGAGAGCACGUCCCUGGCCAAGGGCAUACGCACUUCCGACCGUCUCUCGGAAGGAGGGCGUACCUAACGAGAGCCCCUGGCCAGAAGGGCUGCUCCUUGGCCAGGGAGGCACGCUUUUGACGAGUCCGUUUCGUCAAACUCUUUACUUUUCAACUCCCCGAACCGACGUUAAUACGGAAUCAAUCUCUCAUAUCUCUCGUUUCCCGAGAGAGAGGGAGAGAGUAAAGGGAGAGUUGAGAGUAGAGAGAGAGGGAGAGAGAGAUCUUCUUUUCUUUCUCUUCUUUUCUUCCUCUUCUUCUUCUUACUCUUUACUUCCUUUUCUUCUUCUUCUUCCUCUCGCUCGAUCCCUUCCGAACCUCGUAGAAGAGCAGAAGGAGAGGAGAGGUAACCUCGAUUGGAUCUCCAUUCGAGAACUCGGGAUUACCAUCUUGAAUUCCAAAAACCCAAAAACCGAAAACUCUACUCCAGUUUAUCUGGAGAUCGUGAUAAUUAUCACCUUAUCUCGAUCUUCGAUCCCAAGAUAUCACGAUUAACGUUCUACACUUGGAAUCCUGUGGGUUUACCCCCAAAAACCUUUAUGUACUCUAACUAGAGUAAAUCACCGAACAUUUGGAUAAACUAUCCACAGAUUUGCGCCCCCGCUUCAGCCUAAAAGCCAAGUAGCUCGCCCAUUUUUCGAUAGCCGCUUUAUAUCAGCUAACUCGUGGCAAAACCUGGUUCCUCCGGUUCUGGAGUAGCAUUGUAAGCAACCCUUCGCAAAGAUCUUGGAAGUAUGGAGUUUUCCACCUCCCACAGUAGGGUUUCGUUGGCUUGAAAAAAGAUACAGAAUCUUUAUGUAUUAAAAGUAGAGAACAUACAACGUAACAUCCUAACGUAAUAUCAUGGAAAAAGAAUACGAAGAUUUACAAUUGGAUCACACGUACCUUAUGAACCACUUUAACUAUCCAUUCCUAACCCAGCCUUAUACCUAGGAUAUCACGGUUUUCUUUCUCUACUUGAGCUACCAAUAAGUCACUGUAUCUCUCACCGUAAUUACAUCACAUGAACUGUGAUUUCCAAGUACUUGAAUCCCUAUUCACCUAAAGGAUCUUUUACUGAGCACUUGUUACUUGAAUCAUCUCGAUUUAUUGAUACGUACUUACAGCUUUAUCCACUCAAGGCUCUCUUACAACCAGGAUCAAGCAUCCCAUAGGAGUGCACCUCUCCUAUCUAGUUCGAGUGCCAGACAAUAAGCCCUAUCAUUUCGGUAGGUAUAGGAGUGUACCUCUCCUAACCAGCAGCUCAUGAGGCCUCACAGCCCGCUAAUCCUGGUGAACCUCCAGGCCUGGUGUACCUCCAGGUAUCUGCCAGGGCUCGAACCCACGUGAACCUCGAGGGAGGGGUGAAACCCUAACUUUUCACUCAAUAACCGCUUGGGUNACAUAUAAUCAUCAUCCAAAGUAGUCUAUACUUAGCAUCUCAUGCAUUCUUUUAGCAUUUAAUUCAUUAUACAUUUCAUCUCAUUGGUAGGUAAUAUCAACUACAUAGUAUGUUUCAAGCAUUCAUAUUAUCAUGUAAGCCUACCAAUACAACUAUAUGCAUCAAUGUGAAUUCGUAUGUUUCUUAGACAUAAAGGGCGACCUAGUCGCUUCGGUAAGCACAACCCACCUCAUAUCGCAUUCCGAUUGCUUGUCGACACUUGCAAUCGGCCUCCCGCGGCACCCGUAUCCGGUUCGACCCGAUUUUGCUAAUACUCACCAACCGUGGGUCGAAUCGCGGCUCCGAAAAUUAUAGGUCUUCGGUUUUGUGCCACAAUGCUCCAAACCCAUUUUCAUGAUUUUACGAUGUCGCCUCGACCCUCCAGGCAGAAACGAAGCCUAACGUCCGUUUCUUUAAUAACUUCACAACGGCUCGACGAAUCGCCGAACCGACUUCGCCAAUGCGUUCGUUUACCUAGCAAUUAGGUUUACGGAGGGAGGGUCAAAUGAGAUCAAACCCUACUAUUUUACAAAACCCCAUUCGGAGCCCUAAUAUGCAAUUAGCCUCCAAAUAAUCUAAAUUAAAUGGAGCAAUAUGCUAACAAUGUUCAUUAGAGGCUAUUAGAACACUUAAUGUGAAGGAUUAAGCCAAAUCCCAAAAGCUUACCACAAUGUGAACGCCGCGACGAAAACACGUCGCUCCAACGGGCGUACGAAAGCUCGAUCCGUCGCCUCCAACGCGUUCGCAAGCAUCUUCUCCACCAACGCCCCGAAUUUGAGCGAGAGAUUUGGAGAGAUGAGAGAGAAAUCUAGAGAGAGAGAGAGAGAGCUUUCUCUCUCUCCAUCAUGUAUGCGUGUGUGUGGUGUGCGGGUGUGGUCGGCUGAGGAAGAAGAAGCAAAAGGCUUCUUUAUAUAUUACACCCCAAAACACUAUUCACUUCCGAGCAGUUCGAAAUCUGAUAUUUUUUGCCGGAACUCCCUGAACAUCCGUUUGAGCUCAAAUUUGACAGUCAUAUUCAGUUUUACUCAACGAGUCCAAAGAAAUUUUAAUAUUUCAGUUUCGACCCCAUUUGGUGACCGAAAACUAUACCGAACUGUAAUCUUUAUCAGAUAGCUGUCGGAUUUUAUUUUUCACCUUCCGGAUGUCAGAAUGACAUGAAACUUGAAAUCUAGCCUCAUAAAAUUAAUUCUGACAUAUCCUCCAGUUUUCAUAAUUUUCUGACACUGUACAUUUUUUGCUAAUUUAUCUGCCCCGUCUCUCACAGAAAACUCUAAAUUUUUUAUUUUCGCUCCGAUUUCAGCACAGGUCAUUUCCAACUUAUAUUUCACUUCUCUAAAUCCAAUAAAAAUAGUAUGUCAUACAAUUUUUAUUUAUUUCUAUUUUUAUAUUUAAAAUUCGGUAUAUUACAUUCCACCGUAACCUCACCGGAACCAUUCAAAUGGCUUUCCAACCAAAAUGUACACUGUAACUUCAUAAUUUUAAAAGUCCGGUACCUUACAAUGUGGUUCUUGGUUUUGGUUAUUACGUUGUAACUCAAAUUCAGAACAAGCAUGUUUUAUGAAAUUUGAGUUUUGGAGCAUGAUUUAGUAUUUUAGACAAAUUUAUAUGCUGAACUUGGAAUUGACUUAGGAGAAAACUCAUUAAACCUACACCGUCAUUUUUCGAAAAGUUACCAGAUUUAGCUUCGGGAGCUACUGUACUUUUGUAUCCCCGCUGUUAGUACGUAUUGGAUACUCAGAUUAGUGUAGGGUGAGUUUACGCUCGUGCUAAGGGCCCGAGCUCGUUUUACAGUAGAGUGUAGACUGUUCUGUACUGUCGGGUGCCGUCGUGGUUGACGGUGGACCUAGAAUUGCAUCAGACUGUGCUAAGGGCACGUGUGUCACGCCCCGAGCUCCGCCUAUUUGGUCGGAUUCGAGCACGCCAACAGACCGCCGAACGGAUAGAGUUUUCCCCUGUUCGUCCUAGGCGUCACAUAUCCAUACAAUGCAAUACACGAGGUUCCAAUCAGGAACAGUAUUCAAACAUAGAUUGCAUAAGUAUCAAAAAUAUAAAUGCUAAACUAUACUAUUACAAGCAUUCAUCUCACAGUUUCUUUUUUUACAUGUUACAACUUCCAAAUACCACUACUGGGCGAGGAGAACCAACAUACCCGUUGAAUCACUACCGGGCGGGGAGAACCAACAUAUCCGUAGUUCUGAUUCACUUGCUUCAUAGCAUACUGGGUGAGGAGAACCAACAUACCCGUUGAAUCACUGUCGGUCGAGGAGAACCAACAUACCCGUAGUUCUGAUUCACUUUUUGCCAAUCCUCUUGUCUCAACCACUGCACUUGCAGUCCCCAUUCCUAGGGAUUCCGGAAUCCACUUCCAAAAAAUUAAAGGUUUAGCACAUGCCCUAUUGUUAACCUUUCUAGGUUUAAACCAUUCAUUUCCUAAUGGUCCUUCUACCACUAUAAUCCACAACUUAGUUUCAAAUACACUAAGUGUCACUAUACAUCAUGACAUAGGUUCAAUCACGCUAUGUUCUAUGUCAUUUCUAUCUAGAUCUCGACUCUAGGUUUCCUUAUUCAACCUAUGUUCAAUGACACUAGGUUCAUGUCCAACCUAUGUUUAAUAACACUAGGUUCAUGCCACUCGAUCUACUUAUCAUCCUAGUUGUCACACCUAGGAUUGUAGUUUACAUAUUCUCACUUUAUAACUGUCGAGUUCUCUAAUCAACCUAGAGUUAUCGACCCAUAUUCAACUCAUACGAAUCUAGCAUGUUCACAAUAUGUCAACGUUCAUAUAUCAUAUAGCAUUACUGUAAGGUGCCGAACUUCUGAGGUUAUGAAGUUACGGUGGAAUAUGAUGUACCGGAAUUUUGAAUAUAAAAGUAAAUAUAAAUAAAAAUAGUAUGAGAUACUAUUUUUAUUGGACUUGAAGAAGUAAAAUUAGACCUGGCAAACGGGCGGGUUGGGUAACCCGUGUGUGGGUCAUUGUACCCACGAGUCAUAUGGGUAUGGGUAAAAUUUAUCCGCAAAUUUUUGGGCAGUCGACAUCAUUACCCAUACCCGCCCGCGGGUGGGUGGGUGGGUAUGCGGGUUACCUAUAAAUUUUUUUUUCUUUUUUUACUUCUAUACUUUCUAAAUACAAAACACAUAUAUAAAAUUUUUAAAAGCGUAACAUAAUUCACUGCGUAAAAUAUCACAAAAUACAAUAAAAAUAUUUAAAGCCUUAAAGCGAAUAAAUUUCAUAAUAUAAAAAUAUUUUACCAUCCCAAAUUUUCAUGAUAUCAAAUUAAUAAAUUUUUCAUAAUUAUAGAGUCAAUAUAAUAAAGAUAAACCACCAAAACUCAAUCCACAACUGUCGCUUUAGUAGUUGAUUCUCUUGAUUCUGGAGUUUCACCAAUAUUCAACAAUGGCACCACAAGAUCGUUGUCGUCGUGUUCAUCUACAUUUAAAAUUUGAAAUAAUUAAUUCUCAUAGAAUAAAAAAUAUUAUAAUAUUAAUUUAAAGUAAAUAAAUUUAUUACNGUAGUGUAAUCUAUUGCGAUCGUUAACACUGUUCUACCUCCCCUAGAACUUCUCAGUCGAGACAUACGUUUUACGUAAUAAUACAUUACCUUUUAUAAAAGUACACGCAACAAGACGAGUAUAGAAUUUGAACUAACAAGUUCUCCCAAAUUUUCAAAGAUCAUACCGUGAUGUAUUCUAAGCUCUUUCAUAAUUCAUGGAAUUCUUGUCACUCCGUUCUAACUAAUUUAAACGUCUUGAACGUUUCGUUUGUCUACAAUGAUGAAGUUACGUAAACGCGUACCUAUAUACGUGAUCCACCUUGAGGUGUAUAAACUACGAUCUCUUACGAGAAUGUAAAGCUGUACAAAAAUACGUAAUAAGAAACAAACUAAGUGUAAUAUUUAUAACAGGAAGUUUACUACUCACCCUAUCCCGCCUUUCCUAUACACUAAAAAAUCUUGGUAAAAUACUCUAAUGAUGAGAAAAUAGGCCAAGACUUAUAGGUUGACGUUUAAACAUGAAAGGUUCGCACACCUUUUAAGUUUUCGCGGAAGAACUUCUUCGGCUCUCACUUCUACUUUAAUAUUCACUGUACCGUUUUGUUUACUUUAGGUUCAAACUCUUUAUAACCCUAUUAAUAUUACACUAUAACCGAUAACGUUAAUAAGAACUAAUCCGGAGCGUUUACUCAUUCGGCCGAGCGCAAGCCGAGCGCAAGCCUAGCUAUAAGCUGAGAGAGUUUUAGUCCAAAUAGGUUGAUCUAUGGAUCUUCUACGUGUUCCGUCUUUCUAUGAGUGUUCGGUUCUUUCACAUUGUUAACAAGCCGUUCUUAACAUAAAUGAAAAACUUUUUAUACAACUUUUCAAAAGACACGUUCGGGUUCUUUUUAGAAGUAGUUGAUGAUUAACAAGAUGACCACGAUUUUCUUUCUUUUUACUGUAAACACAUUCAAUAAGAAAUCGAAAAAGAAAUAUCAACGUCAAUAAGUUUAUGAAUUGAAAAAACAUAUAAAUAAUUAAAAAAAACAUAUAAAUAACAGAAAUUAAAAAUUUACAAAGUUACCAAAUCCUGAAACUACCGAAACUAUCACUUAAACCGCAGUGAUCGUUUAGACUUAAUCUAGCUAUAAACCUCCUCUGUUUCAAGCUAGCAUAUUUUGUACGAUUUAACUUAUAAGAACUAAAAACCUUCCUAUUAACACAAGCCAUAGGUUAAGAAAGAUUCUACCGCGCACUAUAAUACUCGUAUGGUUAUUGUUGGCAACGAAGUCUUAGACGAACAUCGUAACCUUCAUUUCACGAGUGUUUCAUGGCUUCAAGUGAAACUGGUCUUUUACGAGUUCAAAACUAGACGUGUGCUUCAACCAACAUACCUAUACUUUAAUUUCCAUUAUUUAAAUAAAUGAAAUUUAAUUAUAAUAUUAUAAAAAAUAAGAAAAUAUUUUUUUCUCAAUUCCCCAAUCUUUUAAGAACUCAAAAACUUUUUCAGAUAGGACAGCACCCGAGUGUGGAGGAGGAAGAUGACAAAAAUUCAAAAUUUUACUAUGCAAUAUCCAAUUUUCAUCUACAAAGUGUGCUGUUAGGCAAAUAUACCCUUCACUUGUGCAAGAUGACCACAAAUCAGAAGUAAGACAUAUUCUACUAGAAACCUUCCCUAGAAUAUGCUUAAUAUUUUCUUUCUCCCUUUUAUGUAUUUUCAGGCAAUCGGUCUUUGCUGUGUUUCUAGUAUAGGGUUUGACGUCCUCAUUCAAGUAAAAAUGCACAUCCCUAAUUCCUUCAUGCGCAGCAAAUGAGAAAGCAUAAUUGUGUUUCAUAAUUGCAAUCGCCAUCUUCUCACGAUAAGUUUCUUGGUUAAAUUUUUUUCCACGUAAUUUUGCCUCGUAACCUGUAAUAUACCGAAAAUUCAGAAAAUAAAUGUCGAACUUUAGUCAAAUUGACUAAAGUGCGAGGACGGUACAUUUCGGAAAGUCCGAAGGUGUUAAAAUGAUUAAAAGUGAGUUGCGGGAGGUUGUCGAGAGCUAUAGAAUCAAAAUCUGCAAACUGCAGACUUUGAGCUCUCGGGGACUGGUCCCUGGUGGGAGAGACCGGUCCCCGAACGCGUAUGAUUUGAGACAGCCGAAAAAUCGGCUAAGUCCUGAGAAAUUAGCUCUCGGGAACCGGUCCCUGCCUGAGAGACCGGUCCCCGAGAGACCGGUCCCCUAAAGAGAGACUGGUUGCACCGCGCGCGGCAGCUCUGGCUGUGCUGGGACGACCUUCGGGAACCGGUCCCUGAAGGAGAGACCGGUCCCCGACUGCGCGAACUGCCCAGUUCGGGCAGUGUAAUGAGAUCAAAGCUGAGGGACUUAUCUGCAAAAAUGCAUUAUGUGGGUCAUGUUUAGGGUUGAGAGAGCCUCUCCCUCUCCUUCCCUCACACCUAAACUCAUCCCUCUCCCUUCCUCUCUCUAGAAGACAAAGAAGGAGAAGAAGAAAGGAAGGAAAAGAAGGAGAAGAAAAAGGAGAAGAAGAAGAGGAAGUGAAGAAACUCCCUCUCCCUCAUCUCUAGCUUGGAAAAUGAGAGCUUACAAGGUAAGCCUUGAACCCUAAUUAUGGUGGGACCUAAUUUAGGGUUUGGAUUAAGCUUAAGAUGGGUUUUAUGGAACCAUUUGAGUAUUUGAAGUUUUCUUUUGCUUCUUUUGAGAUCAAAACCAUGGUUUAGCUCAAAGGUGAGCUUCAACCCACCUCUCAUGGUGAAAUCCAAACUAGGGUUUGGAAUGAGCUAGGAAUGGUUUAGAUGAACUCUUUAGAGUACAUUGAAACUACUUUUACUUCCCAAUGAGAUCAAACCCUAGGUUUGAUAUAUGUAUUGGAGCUAGAGCACCAAGUUGGGGCUUUUGCUCAUGGGAAUUUCUAAGUGCAAUUGACCCUCUAGAAACCUAAUUGGGGGUAUUUCCGACGCGUUGGUGCGUACGGAUUAACAUUCCGAAGAACCAAUGAAAAGAUAUGAGCAAAAUGACCUAUUAGGGCUUCGUUUUGCCGCAGGUAAAGAACGAGAAGCCUAAAAAUCCCGAGAAAAUCGUCGGAGCACCUUUGAAAGCCUACAAGGUGGGUGGUGCUUCUCAAACUCAUUGAACUUCUCUUUAUGCCUAAUGUGUCAUUCAUUUGAACAUGUGUAUAUAUAUUGUUGCAUGCAUUUUAGGGUAAAGUAAUGAUAAAAUGUGAUGAUGCACGAUUGUGAGUACAAUUUGCAUAAUAUGAUGAAUGAGAACUAAGUAAACGUCGAAAACCCUAUGUGUAUGCAUGAGAGGAAGGUGAGCACCCAAAGUGAGCAAAAGAACAGAGUGACACAAUGACAUAGAUCGAGUGGCAUUUGAUAAAGUUAAAGUGAAAUGACACUAGAGAUAGUGUGAGGUAAAGAACCAACGUAAUGUAAAGAAUGAUGAAAAGGAUAAUGUGUAAAGUUAAAGUAAAGUGGGGCAAUAAGAACAAAAAAUGUAACGAACAAGAAUGCUAGAGCUAGCAGAAGUAAAGAAAUGUAAAGAAUGUGAUUGCAUGAGUUUGCAACAUAAAGUGAUGUAAAGGACACUAGAGCUAGUGUAAAGUCAAGAUUGAACUUAUAAAUCCUUUGAGUUAAGGAUAUGAUCAUACUUGCUAUGAGUUCCGUGCUCGAGGGCGGUCGCUCCCCCUCGGGCGAUGCGCUCCGGAGUUAUGCAUCACGGGUUGGAGUAAACCCGAAGGACGGUCCUAGCGGGUGAGUUCCUGCGAUGAUGGACUUAAUGUGAAACAAGUUAAUGUGGCGAAACCCCCGGGUUAGCCUUGAGAUUAAAGAACAAAGAGCAAAGAACAAAGAACAAAGUGUAACGUGAAAAGAACAAAGAAUUUGCAUAAUCUGCAUUUAUUCAAUGUUGAGCAUAUUUCUGCUUAUUGUUCAGGCAUAUUAGCAUCAUGUAUAGAUUGGUUACUAUAUGCAGCUUAUUCUUUCUAUUAUGCCUGAGUUAGUCCUAGUGGGAAAGUCGGUGAUGUUGAGGCCGAACCCACUGGGAACUUUGUUGUAGUUCUCACCCCACUAUUCCACAGAGCCGGGACCGAGCGAGCUGGCGAGCGACCGAGGCAAAGGUAUCGCGCCUUAGUCAGAGGCCACCAAAGUUGGAUUUCAUUUUGUAGUAAAGUACCCUAUGAUCAUCCUUUGUAUAUGAUGAUAAAUGAUGUAAAGAAAAGAAUGUAAUAUGUAUUUUGAGGUAAAUGUGAUGUAAGAAAGAAAUGAUGAGAUGAAAUGGAAGAAAUUCAAAGAUGAACCAGAUGAAUGAAUGUAUAUGAUCAAAAAUGAAUCAUAGUACAAAUGAAUGUUUAGUUUCCUUAUUCUUUCACUAAUGGCUAUUGCUUAUCCUCGUAUAAGCCGUUUGUGUAUAUAUUUCCGCUAGUGCUUUUCUCUAUUGAUGAAAAUGUACAUGUGAUGAGCCUUGGGCGGAUAGAAAAAACUCUGUCCGUUCGGCGUCUGUUUGACGUGCUCGGGCCGGCCCAAAUUGGUAUCGGUCCCGGGGCGUGACAUAACCAAAAUGUAGUUGCUUUACAUCUUGGUUAAUUUUCUUUGGACAACUUUGGAUAUGGCGUUUUAAAUUUGCUGUCCCAUGAGUAUUAGUACCUAUCGCAUAAGAGGCCUUGCACAAUAUACACCUUGCCCUAUUAUUCCCAUCAUCAUCAACAUAUGUGUCAAAACUGUUCCAUACAUCUGAAUAUUUACGAGGUUUUUCUUGCAGAAUCACUAUCACUAACCCUUUCUUGUUUAACAGUAGUUUGAAUAAUAUCAGGCUGUUGUGUCUCACAAUUAUUAUUUUCGUCCACUAUCUGCACAUGUUCUGAAUCCAUACUACAUAAUGGGAAAAAAAAAGUUACUCCACUAUUUUUGAAAAUUUUUCAGAUUUCAGCAUAUUAACUUUCAACCAAAUAAUGUAAUGAGCAAUAUGAAGCUAGCUAAUUUUUUAUUUCAUAUUUGUUAAAAGCUACAAGAAAAAUUAAAGGGCCAUUGCCUAAACAUUUGUAUUGAAAAUAAACAGAUGUAAAGUUGGAGAAGGACGAUGCAUUAAAAUUAGAAAUCAAAUCACUAGCAAGUUUUAUCUUCAACAAGAAAGUAAUAUAACAUAAACUUAUUCUAUGUAUUCGGAAUGCUAUAUUAUCUACUGCAAUGUUAUUUACCAACAAUUAACAAGAAGGAAGAAAAAGCCGAAAAAAUCAUACAUUUUCCAGAUAAACACAAAAAAGCCGGAGAAGGUGCAGGCGAAGAUCGUAAAUAAGCACUUGGUGGUUCGAUGUAGGUCGGGCCACCAGAGAAUAGUAGAGGAGUGCAGUUGCAAAGGCGACACAGUAUGAGAGGUGGCCACAACGAAAAAAAGAUAAACGAAAGGAAAUUAGGAUUAGGGUUUUUAGGAUGGGUAAACAAAAAAAAACAUUUUUUUAAUUAAAAAUAUAUAUCCGGGUACCCGUGGGUACCCGCGGGUUACCCAGAAUGCCCACAACUUAAUGGGUACCCACCCAUUUUACCCACAAUUUUUUGGGUAGGAAAAGUUGGUACCCAUACACGCAAUUUUAUGGGUAACCCGCGGGUAUCCGCGGGUUUGGGUCGAGAUUGCUAGGUCUAAGUAAAAUAUAAGUCGGAAAUGACUUUUGCCGAAAUUGGAUUGGAAACAGGAGAUUUAGAAUUUUCUGUUUGAAAUGGGGCAGGUAUUUUAGCAGAAACUUCACAGUGUCAGAAAAUUAUGAAAAUCUGAAAAUAUGUUGGGAUUAUUUUCAUGAGGCUAGAUUUAAAGUUUCAUGUCAUUCCGACACCCGGAAGGUGGAAAAUAAAAUCUGACUGCUAUCUGCUAGAGAUUUCAGUUUGGUAGAACUUUCGGUGACCAAAAAUGGUCGAAACUGAGAAGUUAAGAUUUCGUUCUUCUAGUUAAGAAAAAUCGAGCCUGACUGUCAAAUUUAAGCGCAAACGGACAUUCAGAGGGCUUCGGCAAAAAGUAUCAGAUUCUGAAGGACUAAACUGAAAAUUUCAAUAGUUGUUGGGGGGCUAUGUGUGUAACAAAUGCCAUACCCUUUUGUUGUCUUGGUCUGAACCGAGAGAGAGAGAGAGAGCAAGUUUCUUUUCUAUCUUUCUCUCUUUGUCUCUAAAAUUUCUCUACCUCUAAAUAAUCUCUCGACUAAAGAGGAAUUGGAGAAGAAAUUGGAGGAGGAAUUGGAGGUUGAGCUUGGAAUUAGGAAGAGAAGCUUCAUUUUCAUCUUCUUCUUCCUUGACUCAAGAAAAGGAAGCUUGUGAGGUAAGCUUCUUGAGCUUCAAUGGUAGAUUUCUAAAGUUUGAGUUAUAAGCUCUAGAAAUGGGUUUAAUUGAAUCUUAGGAUGCUAAAUGACUGUAAAUUGGAUGAAUCAAGUUCUAAUUUGGAGUAUUCUUGCAAUAGUAAACAUCUAGGGUUCUGAAUGUGGUUUUGUUAUAUAGAUGGGUUUGAUCUAAAUUGGACCCAUGUUAACCUAAUUGCUAGGUAUUCUGAAGCGUUGGCGAAGUCGGUUCGGCGAUCUGUCAAGUCUGCGCAAAGAUAUUGGCAAAAAGGACGUUUUUGGCUUCGUUUUCGCCUGGAGGGCCGAGACGGCGUCCAAAAAUCACGAAAACGGAUUCCUAGCAUCGCGGUAUCAAGUUAUAGACUUUUAAAAUCCAAGGUCGCGAAUUGACGCACGGUUGGUGAUCAUUUGCAAGAUCGGGCCGAACCGGACAACGAAUACUGCGGGAGGCUGAUUGCAAGUGACUACAAGCAAUCGAAAAGGGAUUUGAGGUGGGUUGUGCUCAUCGAAUUGUUUAGCUCGCUUCCAUGUCGAAGCGAUGUGAGAUUUACUAUUGAUGCAUAUAAUGGUAGCUAGUUGUAAAACUUAGGAAUGCAUGGGGUGAAUGCUAUGUUAGGCUAUCAAAGAAUGCAUGUUGACAUAAUAUAAAAUGCUAGAAGGAUGCAUAUCGACAUAAUGUAAGAAUGCUAAAUGAAUGCAUGUUGGUAUGUUAUAGAAAUGUUAGAUGAAUGCAUAUGAUUGAUGCUAGUUGAAUGCAUAAGAUAAAUGGCAUAUGAAUGUUAGCAUUAUGAGAAUUAUACUAGAAGGUAUUUGAAUGUUACCACCAUGGGAAUAUACUAGAAAGAAUGUGCAUGUUGACAUAUUAUGGAUUAUGUUAAAGAUAAUAUGCAUGUUGGCAAGUUGUAGAAUAUGCUUGAUUCAUAUGAGUUGAACAUGGGUCGAUAACUCUAGGGUGAUUAGAGGACUCGACAUUGGAAAACAAGAAUAUGAAAACUGUAAUAUUCGAUAUGGACAAGUAGAAUAUCAAGUAGAUCGAGUGGCAUGUAAAUUAGUGUGGUUGAGACACUUACAAUAUAAUGAUGUAAUCGAGUGGCAUUGAUAUUAGUGUAGUAGAGGCACUAUUAUUUGAACAUAGGGAUAGAUGAGUUCCCGAGUUGAUUGAUAUGUUGCAUGAGAACUUAGUGUGGUAGAGACACUUGUGACAUGAUGACUAUAGGGAUAGGUGGAUUUUCCGAGUCAUUGUUAUCCCUAGUUGACAGGGUAUCCUCAGUAGGCGAGGAUUGGAUCAUACCCACAUAGUCUGUUUUGAGCUUCGGGUGGUCGCUCCACACAAGCAGUACACUACGGAGUUGUCACAUGAGCGGGGUAGCUUACCGGGUGGGACACGAGCGGGGUAGCUCCUCACCUAUGAGACUUGAGAUGUGAGUCGGGGCGAAGGGCGGGGAAGCUCUCCACCUGUGAGACUUGAGAUGUGAGUCGGGGCGAAGGGCGGGGAAGCUCUCCACCUGUGAGAUUAGAGAUGUGAGUCGGGGCGAAGAGCGGGGUAGCUCUUCACCUAUGAGAUUUGAGAUCUGAGUCGGGGCGUAACCUUCGGGCUAGCUAAGUGAUUGGGUGUUAUACAUAUGACCUGUAGUUGAAUCCCAAUUGAGUGGAUUUAAGGCUGAGGUGCAAGUGAGAUGUCCUUCGCCUCGAGCCUGACUUUGCGCUGUAUUCCGCAGAUGAUUGACUCAAGACCGAGUCGGGUGGAUAGCUUUGAAAAGGUCGAUGAAACCUUAUGAGUGGAAUUGUAAUUGACUUGAAUCUAAGAUAGAGGAAACCUUAGAUGUCAAUUGAAUGAGUUAUGGAUAGCAGGAUUGAAAGUAGAAUCAAUCGAUCUACUAGUUGGUUGCAUAGUUGCAUAAACUGCAUGAUUUGCAUUGUUGCACGUUGCGAGGCAUAAACAUGAUGAUUGUUAGUUGCAUAUAUAUAUAUAUAUAUAUCUGUGGAUAUUUGUUGGACUAACAUGUUUGCAGUGCCUCCUUCGGAUCUGUUUGGUCAAGCUUUUCCCUUGGAUGGUUGUACCCACUGAAAACUAUGGACAAUAGUUCUCACCCCCGUGUUGUUUUUGGGGGUACAGGUUAACACGCGAGCGGCGCAGCGUCGCGAGGUCAGGGCGCAGCUCCGUAGAUAGUGCCCUACCACCGAGACCAGAGAUAGCGGUACCCUGAAGUGGUCUAGCUUAGGGGUUUGAAAUGAACUCAAAUGAAUGAAACAAACUUGUAAUGGAUUUAUAAUAACUAGAUUGUAUUUGGAAGGAAAUGUAAAACGAAAAUUGUAAAUGUAUAACCUGGGAUGAAUGCUUGUAAUAGCUUAGUUGUUUUGUAUUUUUGAUACUUCCUUAUGCAAUCUAUACUUGAUUCUGUUUCUGGUUGGAACAUCGUGAAUUGUAUUAAUUGUGACGCCUGGAAUAUACAGGGGAGACUGUCCGUUCGGCGGUCUAUCGGAGUGCCCGAAUCUGACCAAAUAGGCGGGUCUCAGGGCGUGACAAUUAUCCACAAUAUGUCAAUAUGCAUAUUCCAAUGGUAGGUAACAUUAACUAACAUAAUAGGAUUCAUAUUAUCAAUCACAAUCUACGACUAUACAUAUAUGCAUAAAUAAUAAUCAUACUUUACUUUGGCUUCGAAGCAACCUAAUCGCUUCGGUGGAGCACAACCCACUUUUAAUUGAUACCGAAAUGCGAGAAAUUCACUUUCCGCAAUUUAUGAACGAUCGCAAUCCUUUCUCGCGACAAACGAAGCUAAAAUGAGGUUUUUCCUCAUUAGCUUGUCGUAGGCUCGUCGGAACGUCGAUCCGAGCUUUUCAACGCGUCAGUUUUACCCUCAAUUAGGUUUCCACGUGAUCAAUCCCAAGCUAGAGCUUCAAUCCAACAAUUUAGUAUUUUCAAGUUAGAGCUUUAAACAACCUGCUACUAUACAAACUUCAACUUAAUACAACCUGUUUCUAUACAGGUUCUAUAAGAAUCUAUAUAGAAAUCUCAGCUUUAACCAUUCAAGAAUCUCAAAACCAAUUCCCUUAAGGUAUUUAUAUCAAGCCUUAACCAGGAAUAACAACUUACUCACCAUGCUCCCAACUGCCAGGUUCAUAUACAUGAUACAUAUAGGCCUAUUCUAGGCUUUUCAUGUUAAAAACAGCACUAGCAACCCAAGAAAACCCAAGUUAAACCCUUUCUAGGUGAUUAAAAUGAUCUUUAAUCAGGAAUUACCUCAACCCUACAUCAGUUUAAAACUCCAACAGCUUAUUUAUUUCCCAGCUGCAAACAAUCACACAUAACAUAAUACAUAGCUCUCUCUAAGUUUCACAUAGCAAUUUCAGUUUUAGAAACCUAAAAUUUCAUUGUCUACUCCUCCUUUAGGUUAAAUACCAUGAACCAUAACCAGGAAAUAUGUCUCUCCUACCUCAGGUUUCAUCCCAACAAAUAAUUCACAUGUAUAUAUAUCUAUAUAUAUGUUGUCAACACACAAUUCUUUAGGAUUUUUCUAAUAGAAGUUCUAAUACCCCAAAAUCUGUAGCUUAAUCUCUUUUAGAGCAAUAACCUAACUCUAAUAUGAAAUUAGAUCAAACCUACCUCAACUUGGAAGCUCCCACAAGCUGCUCUCAACUCCUGGACCGUCCUCUCAGCUCAAACCAUCAAGAAAACCCAACUCCACACGAACCCUUUUCACUAACUUCAGCCACCUUAGGCUUGUAGAAAGAAAAGAAGAAAAAAAAUGAAAAGAGGAUGAAGUGGAGAGGAGAGAGGAGAUUUAGUACAUAGCAGCUACUGGGGUAAGCUGCGGUUCAGAUAAGAUCAGCUAAUUUCUCAUAACACCCCUCACAAAAGCUGGGUUCAACUCUUUCACAUUUUGAUUCGUGCAGUUUUCUGCACCUGGCAGCAGCUGGAAGCAGCAACAAUUGCCCUCAAAUCCUCACACAAAGUUGAAAUUCUGUUUUACAGAUUAGUCCCUGUGGUUUCCUUGCAUUUGGCAGCAGCCGGCAACAGCAGCAAUUGCUCUUAAACCGCCUACAAAGCAGAAAUUCUGCUUUUACAAAACAGUCCCUGCAGUUUUUAGAAAACAGUCCCUGCAGCCUCUUUUUGGCACUAGACAGCAGCAGCUGGCAGCAGCAGUAGUUGUAGCAGCAGCUGCAAUUAGCAGUAGCAGCAGCACUCAGCAGUAGCAGCAAUUGCACUUAAACCCCCCCAAAAGCAGAAAUUCUGCUUUUACAAUUUAGUCCCUGUAGCUUUUUAGUACAGAAACUGCACUAGGCAGCACUUCCAAGUCAUUUUCUCGCGUAAACUUCGUUCUAACACCUCUAAACACUUCUAAAUUUGCCACUUAACUAUCCCCACAUCUCCAAAAUGAUUUGGAGAUACCAUAAAUUAUCCUCAUUGUUCACUUUGAUACAUCCAAUCAAAGUUAGCGUCGUAAGCCGGAGAUUCAUUUUCGAGUUCGUUUCGCGCCCAAUAUGCACCGAAACAUUCAAUCACUUCCCAAAAUCAUUCCCACACCUCUAAAAUUAUUCGGGAACGAUGUACAUCCAGCUCAAGCUUCAUUUUGAUCCCCCAGAUCAAAGUUAGCAUUACAACCCAAAAUUUUCGGUACAUUACAACGUGAGCUUUGGUUGUUAGACCAGUUAAACCCUUUUGCAUUGACUACAGCCUGUAAGAGCCUGAUUGGGCUUGGCAGAGACACGCUUACAUACUCGGUUGGAUCGCGCCGACGAGUGCCGCUUCGGAGUGAGGCUUUGACUUGCGUUGAUGUCGCAGCCAUCCUGUUUGGACCAUGUUCUUGGAUCGACCAUCCCCGUGGGUGGUGUACGGUGUAGAAGGAAAAUGAGGAGGAUGAAAAAUGGUGUAAAUUUUGCCCAAAAUUGCACCAUUUCGCCCAAAAUUGCACCAUUUCGCUCAAUUUUGCACAAUUUCAUCCAAUUUUGCACCAUUUCGCCCAAAAUUGUACAAUUUCUCCUUCUCCUCCUCUUCCUCUUCCUUCUUCCUUUUUACACCAUUACACCAUUUUCUACACCUUAGAAAUUGCAUUCUUUGGACAAUCUCAUCUCCCUCAUCGGAGAGUAGGACUCGGACGACGAUCUUGAGGGCAUGGAUCUACUUCUUCAUCUUGGAGUCGAGGGUGCCCCACUCAGUCCUCUGGACCUCCUCGAUGCUCAUCUUGUCGACACUGAGGGCGGCGAGGGUGUCCGCGACGGACGGCGUCGCGGCGGACGGCGUCGCGGCAGACGGCGAUGUACAUCUAGCUCAGCUCCUGGCCAUACCCGGUGCGGAUCAUGCGGCUGGCGAUCUCCGCGAGGUCAUUGACGGCGUUGGCGUAGAGGAGGUCGGAGGAAAAGUGGUUGGCGAAGAGGAUCCCCGGCCUCCUUCUCUGCCGCUGCCGUCGCAGGAGUCCUCAAGAUUGGCGCCGUGGGGGUGGGGGUCGGAUCUGAAGGAGGAGGUGAGGGCGUCGUCGUGGGAGAGGGAGAGGCGGCGGAAGGAGGAGGUGGGUUCCUCGAAGGUGGAGGAGGCGAUAGGGAGGGUGCUGCGGAGGAGGUGGCGGAACAAAAAAAUAACGAAGGAAAAAAAAAGAGAGAGAAAAAAAGAAGAGAGAGAAAGAAAAGGAAUAAGGGUAUUUUCAUCCGAUGUAAAAACUUCGGUCCGAAUUUGCAAAAUUAGAAAAGGUGGCUUAGUUUUGCAAAAAGUCAAAACUUGUGGAUUUUUUUUUAUGCAAAUGAACAUUUCAUAGUAAUAAUAAUAGAGAAAAAACUGACCGUACCUAGAGCAAGUGACAAAGGGCUUGGUGGUUGGUACCCGAGACCUAAGUUCGAAUCCUAGUUGAUUCAUAUUUCUAGCUAAGUUUAUUUCUAAAUAAAAUAAACGAAGCGGAUAACGUGCUACCUAUCUCUUAAAAAAAACAAAAAAAAAGGAAAAAAGAAAAAAUAGAUCCGAGCAGCGUAAAAAUUUAAUCUAUUUGCUGUGCCCUCGCAUUACUUCAUCUUUCCCCAUUCUCGCUGCCCAAUCCUUAUUUUUCAACCCACUCUCCCCUUCUCUUUUGCCCUAGGUUUCCCAAAUCUUCCGGUCUCUUCUCCUUUCCCUUUCCUUGUCUUCUUCUUCACGGGCUGCCUCUGUGAUCCAAGAGGACAUCCUCACCCAUGGCGGCGUCUCUCCGGGCAAGAAGCUCCCGCCGCUACAACACGAGGCGCCGAGCGGCUGCUGGUGCCGUCGCCGCCGUGUCCGACGCUGCCGCCGCCACUGCUGCCUCCGCUGGCGCCGCGACCGUAAAUGAUUUUUUUUCUUCUUUAUCCUUUUCAUUCAACCAUUAAUGCAACCGUAAAUGAUUUUUUUUUUUUAUUUUGCAUUUAGAUGGUGUCUGAUCAUAUUUUGAUUCUUAUGUCUCUAUGUCUUGGUGGAUUUAAUUUUAUCUUAUGUAAAAGUAAAAAUAGAGUAAUCUUUUAGAAGAUAAACCAAACGCUUAAAACAGUAUAAUUUUUUUAUAUGAUAUAGAGUUUUUCAGAAUAUCAAAUACAAUGUAAAAUAAAGCUCUAUUUUAUUUUUCAGUAGUUGCCAUCAUAGUUAGUUAAUUCGCGAAUUAUUCGCGAAUUUUUGAAAUGCCGAAUAAAACUUCCGUUUUCGUAUUUUUUUCCAAAAAUUCGGAAAAAUUCGCAUUUUUUUUUUUUGGGUAAAAAGAAUUAUUCGCGAAUUAAACGGAAUUCGCGAAUAAUUCGGCCCAAAAAACCGGCCCAGAACCCGUUUUGCCUCGCCCAAAACCCGCUUUGCCUCACGAGUCACGGCCCUCACCCUGUCGCCCAAAAGGCCAAAAAAAAAAAAAAAAACUUUCUGAAAUCUGAAGUGAAAAGAUCGCCCCCCUCCCACCACGAGUCCCACACCCCUCCCAAAAAAAGGGUUUGCCCUAACUUCUCACCCCUGCGGCGGUGCGGCGCGCGGCCCUGCCACCGACCCUGCGGCGGUCGCGGUCCCUUCCCCUCCCCCUCUUCCCUUCCGGCCGCUCGCCGAACGCCAUCGGAAGCCCUCCUCUUCAGAAAUCGAAGAUCGAAGAUCGGGUUCUUCACUCUUCAGAAAUCGAAACCCUCCUCGUCGCCUCUUCCUCUUCCGCUUCCGCUUCCGCUUCCGCUAUCCAACGAUAGAUCAGUAAUCGGGUGGUUCUUUACAAACCAGGUACGAUUUGAAGUUUCAUUCUUCAAAGCAAAAGUUGGGAGCUUUUAGUCCUGAUGGAUACUUUUUUAUACACAAAUGUCUCGAGUGCUUAAUUGAAUUGAAUGUGUCUAUUCCAUAGUUAGUUAAUUCGGAUUCGCAUUUUGAUAUAGUCGAGGAUUAAAUCAUCAUUUUCUAGUUUAUUUGUACAGAUUCGCAUAUUGAUUUUAAAUUUUUAUUUUGGGCAAUAACUUAAUCUCGAGUGCUUAAUUGAAUGUGUCCAUUCUCUGUUAUGCACAAAGAAGACCCAAACAUAGAGCUAAAUAAUCUUAAUUAACUUAGGGACCAGGAACUCUUCUAUUAUACCUAAUCAAUUUCAUUAUCUUGUACUGUCGACACUUGCAAAAGGAAAAUUUUGUUGUGGUCUUUCAUGGACCAUUGACUCAGUGGGGUUUCUACUUAAUUUUUGAAACAUAACUUUUUAGUAUUAGAAAUGCAGCAAUUUAAAUAUGGACUAUCUUGAUCUCUAUUUGCUUAAUUAUUUCUAUAUUUUGAGGCUUAAUAUAGUAUACUAUUUUUUUUACUUACUUAGUUCAAUUUUGUAGCUCUUUAUUCUUAUAUUCUUAAAAAAUAUGAAUAUUUAUGCUAAUAGCAGAAAUCUUGAGAGAAAAAAAAACUUAAUUUAAUAGCCGAAUUUUUGAUCCCGAAUUUUUAAUUAGUGAAUGUAUAAUAUCCGUAUAAAUCACGUAUCCGAAUAAUUGGCGAAUCCCUUUUUUAGCCUUUUUUUCAACGAAUUUAAAAAUUAGAAGACGAAUUUUAUCCGAAUUAUACCCGUACCGAAUUUUUGCCGAAUCCGAAUUAACUAACUAUGGUUGCCAUACAGGCCCUGUCUGUAGAGAAACUUGUGUAGAUUUGAACCGGUUUGAAAGAAAACUAGUGUCUGGUAGAAUCAAUUCCCGGAGCGGUUCUGAUCCAUCCUGUUAACCUUGGCUGAUGGGUUCACUGCUGUGCCUAAACGACGGUUGAAUUUUAGCGAACAAAACCUCACAACCUGACAUAUCGAAACCUUUUUGCAGUGGCGGCGUUUUAGACUCUUAAUAUUAAGGGAUGGCGAUUUAUGGAGGGUUUGGUGGCGGGACGUGCGGAGCGGCCAUUCGCCUUCUUGAACCGGUAAGUUCUCUGCUUUGCUCUCUCUCUCUCUCUCUCUCUCUCUCUCUCUCUCUCUCUGAAUCGUAACUCGUACGGUGGUCUAGCAAAUUAUGAAUGUGACUUGACUGUGAUUGCCACCGUGUGGCGAUUGUUUUAGUUUUAUCUAAUUAACCUAGGAGGCUUCUUAGAUUCUAUGUCAAAUGUGUCUCUUCCUUGAACAUGAUGAGAAGAAGGAAACAUUUGUUUUUCGUCAACACCAAGGAAGGUUAUGGUCGUUAUUGUGAAAUUGUACGUCUAAACUCGUCAGUCCUUUUAUGGAAGAUAGUGUGGUAUUGUGUUAGUUUAGCUUAUUCUGGAUAUUAGUACAGGAAAUAGUUGAUUAUUACGUGUCAAUCAAGGUUUUCUGGAAUAGGUACAUUUCAAUUAGUCGGUCUCUCAUGUUAGAGUUUGUAUUUUGAUGGGAAAAUGAUGCCGAGCCUAUCAUAUAUGGUGUCUUUAGUUAUAUACUUGUUUUCUGCUGCUUAAGAAUGCAACAAAUGAUUAUUUGUAAUAGUGCCAAUAGUUUGAAAAGUCCUACAAGAUACCUUGUGAUAUAUCUCGAUGCUUUGCAAACUGUACCUAUGCAGUUGUUUUGAGUGACAUAGAUUGUAAAGUAAUUUUCCCGCUCUAAAUAACUAAGAUAGUUUGUUCUUAUAUUGGAAAUGAUCUGAAAUGCAUUAAAAAGAUGGCCUAAAAGUUUGUAGUUGGUCCUUCAGAUUGCUUGUCGUCAGAUCACAAACUUUGUGGUUUUUAGAUAUGUAAUCAUGCAUUGAUAGGGAAUAACACAAUAGAUUAUUUUUAUUUACAUAAAUGUUGAAAUGUGCGUAUGUAGGUUGGUUGUUAUAGUGGGUUUCAAAUUUGUAAAUUUUGCAUAUCUAGGAUGCCACUGUUUGAAAUGCUAAAAUGUUCUAAUAUAACAUUAUAGUGUUUGUUGUUUUUACACGACAAGUUAUCGAGGAUGAGUAAAAGGUAAGCACAAAGAUAUCAUGCCUAUGACCUCCAUAGAAUAUUACUUUUCCUAGAUAUUGUUUGGAUACUCACUUAAACCCUUGAAUUGAUUUCUUUUUUCCUUUGAAAAGCCAAAACAAUAUUUGAAUAUUGUCAGUGCUUAUUAUUUUGCUAAUAGAUUUCUCCUAUCUGCUUUGUCAUGAUACUUCCAAAUUAUGCAUGACCACUGCUUAAAAAAGCCCAAGGCGCUCCUAGGCGCAAAGGGCUGUUGGAGCCUAGGCGCAAGGCGAAAGGCGCAGGCGCGCGCCCGAGAGAGGUCAAGCUCACACUUUCAUAGAAUUUUGAAAUAAGUAAAGAACCAAGAAGUGUCUUACUAUACUUUCUAAUAAUUAUUAAGUAGCACUAAAUAUACUCUAUAAAAUCAUAUUAUCACAAUAAAUAUUCUAUAAUUACCCAAAUAAUUACGUUUCCAAAAGGAAAAAAAUUAAGAAAAGAAAACAAGCCAAACAACAUAUAUGAUAAUUUUGAAAAAGAAAAUAACAUAGAUAAAAGUAAAGAACAAAUUACCUUUUUUAUCUCCAAAUAAAGGCCAACAUAAAGGUAACUAUUAAUUCACAAACAUAUAGGAAAUUUUGAUGUGAAAAUCAUAUAAUUAUAAGCACAAGAUCAUAAAAAGUAAUAUGCAUAAAAGUUUAAAGUUUCAAGCCAAAAAUCAUUAAAAAAGCAUCAUAAUCAUCUGAAAGCAGUGAUUAAAAAAGCGCGCCUUAAUAUAGAGGGAGAGGCGAGUUGAGUUGAAGAAGCAGAGAGGGAUAGCCGGAGGCAAUCGGAGGUGAUGGACGAGUGGCAGAGAGGAUCGGUCCGAGCGGAGAGAGGGAGAGGGAGCAGACUCAGCGAGAGGAGAGGGAGCAGACUCGGCGAGAGAGAGAUGGAGCGGAUAGAUGUUUAGGGUUUAGAACUUUAGAUUAGAUUGGUUUUGGGUUUAUUUUACAUGUUUUAAACCCAUUAGACCAAUAAAUAUAGGAUCCAAACCCAUUAAAGCAUAUAUUUUUAGAUCCAAACUCGGUAGUAUCAAAUAUAUAUUAAGUGCGCCUUUCUUGCGCCUUGCGCCUUGCGCCUUGCCCUAGGCGUGCGCCUAGGCAGCCCAGGCGCACACCUAGAGCUAGGUGCAAGGUGCGCUCAAGGCGUGCCUUCUUCAUAUUUGUCAUAAUGGGUUUGGAUCUAGGGGCUGCCUAGGCGCUGGCCAGUGAGCCUAGCGCCUAGGCGCCUAGGUGCGCGCCUAAGGCGUGCUUUUUUAAUCACUGUGCACGACUAUCUGCUUUAUGUUGUAAUGAAGGUACGAAUUGACUUGGUUAUUGAGUAAUAUUGUUUCAUUGCUUAAUUGUGAAUAGGUGGGGCUGCCGCUUUUGCUAAGCCCACUUGGUUCUAAUAUCGUAAUUCGAACAGCUUGGUGAGUUUCAUAUCCUCUUUAGGUUUACUUUUAGAUGAUGAAACAUUUUUGAAAUGCUUACUUUGUUUGGUAUAUUCACUAAGGACUAUGAUUUUUGGCAAACACAACUAGUUAUAGCUUCCUAGAUAUUGCAUCUUGUCUCCUUAAUUCUUUUUCUAUAAAGUAUGAAAUUGGUGAGGUUGUGUCAAACUUGUUGUUCUAUGUCUUUAUUUGGCUAUAUCUAUGUGGUGCAGUUGCACUGUGGGGAUUGCUUUGCCUGUAUACUCAACUUUCAAAGCUAUAGAGAAGAAAGAUCAGAAUGAACAGGAAAAAUGGCUUUUGUAUUGGGCAGGUUGGUAGUGUAAUAUAUGCCAUGGGUUUUUUUUUACUAUAAAUGCAUAAAACACUACCAUUUUCAACUUUCUCUGUUUUAUUUGUUUGAUUGGAUUUUUUUUUUUAAAGUUUUUUAAAUGUAAUGCCUUUGGUGUAGUUCAAAAAAUAAUAACUCAAUUAAAAACCUAUAUUGUUUUGAAAGUUAAACAUUCUGAUGUGAUACUGAUAAUAACUGAAAAGAAAAUUAAUCAAAUUGGAACGAGAACUUGUGUUGUGCUUGGAGCCCUUGGAAUUUCUUUUAUCUUCAAAAGUUGUGCCAAGAUAUAAUAAUUUUGAAGUUGUAAUGAGUUAUGGUUCAGUUCAAAUCAAUUCCAAUCCAAAACCACCAUCAACCAAUCUAUAGAUUUGAAAGAACAGCAGCACAAGGCAGCAACAAAUAAACAACAACAAGGGGAGGGUUGCAUAACAGAAGAAUACUGAUGUAGUGCAUCACAAGAAAGAAAUGAAAGGUGAAAAGUCAUUCUCGGGUUAACCCAGUUAGCCUAUGCAUUGUUCAAUGUUUUUGUCAUAACUUCGACCUAGUUAGCCUAUGCAUUGUUCAAUGUUUUUUUGUCAUAACUUCCUCUAGAAUUAUCCAAAUUGCACUUUGUUUGAUGCUUUGGAAACUAGACUUGAAGCACUUUUCAAUGAUACAAAAUUCCAAGGAGUUAGGGCCCGUUUGACCUAGAUUUUGAAAAGUGAUUUCUACAGAAUUGAUUUUGGUUUGAAGAAUUGAUUUUGGUUAAAAGCUGUAGCGAUUGGUUGAGUUUUGGAUCGAAAACGAUUUUUCUGAAGUGAUUUUGGAAUGCUGUUUGGCGAAGUAUUUCUGCUGUUUGUAAAUAAUAAAUUUUUUUUACUAAAUCUUAUUUUAAAAUUAUUUAAAAUUUGAAUUUAAAUUUUAAAAUUUAAAUUUAAAUUAUAAAUUUGCACACAAUUUAAUUUGAUAUUUUAAUUUAAAAUAUAAAUUUGAAAAGUUAAAAUUAAAAAUUAAAAAUUAAAAUUUUAAAUUUUAAAUUUCAAAAGAUUAGAUUUGAAAUUUGAAAUUUGAAAUUUCAAAUUUAAAAUUUUUAAUUUAAAUGAAUAUUUAAAAUUUAAAACUUGAAAUUUUAAAUACUAAUGUUUACAAUUUAAAAUUUAAAAUUUAAAAUUGAAAUUAAAAAAUUUAGAUUUUGAAUUUUAAAAAAUUAAAAUCCAUUAUUUGAAAAUUAAAACUUACAAUUUUAAAAUAUAAAUAUAAAAUUUAAACUUUAAGAUUUAAAACUCUAGAUUUGAAAUUUGAAAAUUUCAAAAUUUAAAUUUUAUGUUAAAUUUUAAAUUUCACAAAUUUAAAUUUUAUGUUAAAAUUUAAUUUCACAAAUUUAAAAUUUUGAAUUUUUAAAUUUAAAAUUUGAAAUUUAAAAGUUUAAAAUUGAAAAUUAAUAAUUCAAAUGUGAAAUUUAAAAUUUAAAAUUAAAGCUUGAUUUAAAUUUUAAUUUUGAAUCUAAAUUUAAAAUAAAAUUUAAAAUUUUUCCAAAAUUAGAAUCAGAUUUCAAGAAGUAGGUUUGGCUACUAAUUUUGGCCUCGAAAAUAAAAAAACUGAUUCGAAAAAUCAGAAUCAGAUUUUGAAAACUAGGUUGCCAAACGCUUUAUUAAACCAAAAAUCACUUUUGGGCCCAAAAUCUCUUUUCAAAAUCUAGGCCAAACAUCUACUUAGUUUACAAUCUUGUGCAGAUUUAGGAUGGGAAACAAAGCGACUUUCUAGUUUUUUUUGUGGUUCUCCUGCUUUGUAACUAGCAACUAGUGUUUUGAAUGUUUAUGGAGUCUAAGGGUUGGGUUCAUCAGUCAAGAAGUUCAUAAUUAGCAACUAACAUUAAGAGAUCUACAUAAUUAGCAACUAACAUUAAGCAACUAACAUUAAGAGAUCUAUAAAAGGGGUCUAUAGCAUCGGCUUGAGUCAGUUUGGUCUUGAAUUAUCUUUGAUUAAUGAAUUGAUAGUGAGUUUGUUGACUUCAACUUUGUCUAGCUUUGCUUUGUUGUGCUUUAAGUUUCUUCUUCCCUUUCUCUAUCGUCCACCCUCAUCAUCUGGUAUUAGAGAUUGAGUGAGGUUAUUAGAUGAGUUCUUGUCUCAUGGCGACAGAAGGAGGAUGGGGAAGGCAUGGAGAUCUGAUGAUGGGCAGUAUAAGAGAUGAUAAAGGUGAAAAAAUUCGAGUUCUUUGAAGGCAAGUUGAGUAGCUUACUGUGCGCUUUGAACGACAGGAGGCUCAUAGCUCUAAAACAUCAAGCUAUGGGUAUUCCAAUGAUGAAGACGAAGAUGUGAAUCCAUUUGCCAGCUGGCAGGUUCGGGAGGAGACAAUUAAGGAGAGUUUUCUCCAUACAUUUGAUACCAUCAAGGUUGGUUUCUUGGAAUUCGAUUAUCGUCUUUGGCCCGAAGAGUUUCUUGACUGGCUUUGUGCUGUUGAGAAAUUCUUUAAAUGUAGGGAUGUCGUUGAGUACUACAAGAUAAAAGCUAGUGGUCACUGACUUUGUGGCUGUGCUUCGACUUGGUGGGACAAGGUCGAAGAAUUGUGACUUCGCAAAGGCAAGUAGGGGUGAAAACAGAUCGGAUACGGUCUGAUAUUGGACAGAACCAUAUCCGCAUCCAUAUUUUUUUAUUCGGGUGUGAAUUUCCUUUUGGAUAUUUGUCAGAUGCUAAAUUUUCGUUACCUUAUCCGCUAAAAAUGGAUUCAGAUAUAGUCAGAUACUUUUUCGAAUUUGGAUAUGGAUUGGAUUUGGAUUUGGAUAUGGAUAUUAUUCGGAUAAUAAUAUAUACUAGUACGUACAUAUAAAUAUGAACUAGAGUAAUUGCCAAUACAACUUAAGUUUCACACUUAUGUUUAAAUUUUUAUGUACCUAUAUUUUAUUGAAUAAAAUCUAAGAUAUAAUAAAUAUAAAUGCCAUAAUAUAAAAUUCAUAAUAACAUAAACAAAGAACAUAAAAAAAAUCACCUUAUUUUCCCAUAAUAUAUAUAUAUAUAUAUGUAUGUAUGUAUAUAUAUGUAUGUAUGUAUAUAUAUAUAUGUAUGUAUGUAUAUAUAUAUAUAUAUAUAUAUAUGUAUGUAUAUAUAUAUGUAUAUAUAUAUAUGUAUAUAUAUACAUACAUAUAUAUACAUACAUAUAUAUAUAUAUAUAUAUAUAUACAUAUAUAUAUAUAUAUAUAUAUAUAUAUAUAUAUAUAUGAGUAGGUCUUGUGUGCUGCUAUUAGGAGCACGGAGGCCUCGGUGCUCCUAAGCUGUUUUCGAUGAUGGAUCUUUCAAAUCGACGGUCGGCUCCGUUAGACUUGAUCUAGCGUAUUUGAAGUAUCUAGAAAAUAAAUUUUGCGAUUUUUCGAUAUUAUUUGCCUAGCGAUCGAAAGGGUUCAAAAUCAACGGCUGGAAAUAAAAAUCUCACAAAAAGUGGUGAUAUAGUACUAAAAUUUUCGAUCAGAGACAUUGAUCUUGCUGUAAAUAGUAUAAAGAAUUUUCUAGCAAAAUUUCAUAUGAUUUGAAUACUUAUACACCGUUAAACUUGCAAACGGUAUACAUCAACCAUUAAAAAUUAUUUAUUUUAAACCCUUUCGAUCGCUAGGUAAAUGAUGUCAAAAAAUCGUAAAAUUUAUUUUCGAGAUAUUUCAAAUACGCUAGAUCAAGUCUAACGGAAUCGAUCGUCGAUUCGAAAACUCCAUCAUCGAAAACGGCUUAGGAGCACGGAGGCCUCCGUGCUCCUAAUAGCACACAAGACCUACUAUAUAUAUAUAUAUAUAUAUAUAUAGAGAGAGAGAGAGAGAGAGAGAGAGAGAGAGAGAGAGAGAGAGAGAGAGAGAGAGAGAGAGCGAGCGAGCUAGGCUGGUAUACUAUCGGUAGCACGGAGGCCUCCGUACUAGCAAGUUGUUUUCAAUGAUGCGGCUUCCAAAUCGACGAUCGGCUCCGUUAGACUUGAUCUACACUAUUGAAAGUAUUUGGAAACUAAAUUUCAUAAUUUUUCAGCAUCAUUUACCUAUAAAACGAGUAGUCUGAAAAUGAACGGUUGAAAAUAAAAAUCUCAUAAAAAAUAAUAAUAAAAGACUUGAAUUUAAGAUCAGAGGUACUGAUCUUACUCUAAAUAGUGAAAAAAAUUUUCUAUAAAAAUUUCAUUAGAUUUAAAUUGUUUUACACCGUUAAAUUCACAAACCCAUCACAUCUACCAUUAAAAUUGUCAAUUUUGAGACCUUUUGAUCACUAGGUAAAUGAUACCGAAAAAUUAUGAAAUUUAGUUUCCAAAUAUUUUCAAUGGUGUAGAUCAAAUCUAACGGAGCCGAUCGUCGAUUUGGAAGCCGCAUCAUUGAAAACAACUUGGUAGCACGGAGGCCUCCGUGCUACCGAUAGUAUACCAGCCUAGAUCUAUAUAUAUCUGUUAGAUUUGAUCUACACUAUUGAAAGUAUUUGAAAACUAAAUUUCAUAAUUUUUCGGUAUCAUUUACCUAUCAAACGAGUAGUCUAAAAAUGAACGGCUGAAAAUAAAAAUCUCAUAUAAAAUGAUGAUAAAAUAUUUGAAUUUAAGAUCAGAGGUACUGAUCUUACUCUAAAUAAUGAAAAUAAUUUUCUAUAAAAAUUUCAUCAGAUAUGGAUUGUUUUACAUUGUUAAAUUCACAAACGCAUCACAUCUACCAUUAAAAUUGUCAAUUUUGAGACCUUUUGAUCACUAGCCAAAUGAUAUCGAAAAAUUAUGAAAUUUAGUUUCCAAAUACUUUUAAUAGUGUAAAUCAAGUCUAACGGAGCUGAUCGUCGAUUUGGAAGCCGCAUUAUUGAAAACAACUUGGUAGCACGGAGGCCUCCGUGCUACUGAUAGUAUACCAGCUUAGCUCUCUAUAUAUAUAUAUAUUAUCAUCCCAUACAUAUUAAUGUAAAUGUAAAUAUGUAAUAGUACUAAAAAAUCUAGAUGUCCAUAUUCGUAUCCUUUUUUUGUGGACAUCUUUGACUCUCUAAAACCAUAUCCAUAUCCAUAUCCAUAUCCAACCUGAUCCAAAUAUUUUCAAUCCAGAUAUGGAUAAUAUUGAAUAUGGAUGCGAAUAUUUUCAGAUAAUAUCUAAUCUGUUUUCACCUCUAAAGGCAAGCCUAAGAUCUCUUCUUGGGAAAAGAAAAGCUCCAAGCUUUGAGAGCAUUUUCUACUUGCGAAUUUUGCUCAAAACAUGUUUUUGCAAUUCAAGAACCUUCAAAAAGUAGAAGUGUUAUCGAGUACACUGAACAAUUUUACCAAUUGAUGGCUCGCAAUGACAUUCAAGAGACGAAGGAGCAACUUUUUGCAAGGGGUGGUAUAAAAGUAUCAAUUCGUGACGAAGUAGAAUUACAAACAAUGAAUAUGCAGGUUACAUGAUGCUUUUCAACUUGCUCUUAAAUUGAAGCAAAAUUAACUAAAAGUGGUUAAGAAAAGUUGUUGAUGUGUGCAGUCUUUAUCCACCUACAAAGGAUGAGUCCUCACAUAUGAUGUUGGUGCUACAAAAUUUGGUGGUCCUGCGAAGACCACGACCAAUCAUGGAGGAUAGUCAAGUCACACCAAACAAUCUUCCACUUGUUUUAGUUAAGUAAGGUGGUCGCUAUGCUCGUGAAUGUCUGUUGAGGCGAGUGGACGUUAGCAUAAUAAUUGUUGAUGUAGAGUGCAAUGAAGAAAUAUUACUUGUUUUUAGUUAAGUAAGGUGGUCGCUAUGCUCGUGAAUGUCUGUUGAGGCGAGUGGACGUUAGCAUAAUAUUUGUUGAUGUAGAGUGCAAUGAAGAAAAAUUGAGAUUUUUUAGAAGAACCAAGAUGUCACGCCCCGCGACCGCCCGCCUAUUUGGCCGGGUCGCGGCGCCGCGAACAGACCGCCGAACGGACAGAGUUUUUCCUGUAUGUCCUAGGCGUCGCAACCUGUACAAUACAAGGGUUCUAACUAGGAACUGAUCUCAAUCAAGAUUGCAUAAGGAAGUAUCAAUAACAAAAAACUAACUGCUAUUACAAGCAUUCAUUUCAUACACUUUAUACAUCACACCUUUUCUUUUACAUGUGUUUAACUUCCAAAUACAAUCACAUUAUUUACAUUUAAUACACGUUGGUUGUUGUCAUCCCAUUCUAACCCCUAAGCCCUGCUGACUCGGGGUACUACUAUCUCAGUCUCUGGGGUAGGGCGCUAUCUACGAAGCUACGUCCUUGCCUCGCGCCGCCGCGCCGCUCACGUGUGUACCUGAAACACCCCAAAACAACGUGGGGUGAGAACCAACUCUAUGAUUCUUAGUGGGUACGACCACCCAAGGGAAAAGCUCGACCAAUAGGUCCGAGGAGGCACUGCAACAUGUUAGUUCAACAAUAUACAACAAAUAUAUAUUCAAAUUGAAAUACAUGCCAUGCCUCACAAUAUGCGAUAUGAAAAUCAUGCAACUAUAGUAGAUCAAUUGAUUCUACAUUUACUUGGCUAAUUUUAGCUCAUAACAUUCAACUCUAAGGUUUCUAUUACCUUAGGAUCACACUCAAGUCCACUGGCUUCUAAGGUCUCUAUUACCUUAGCUCUAGCCUCUAUCACUAGCUUAUAAGGGUUCCACUACCCUAUCGAAGCUAUCCACCCGACUCGGCCUCGAGUCAAUCAUCCGCGGAUAUUCCGCACACUGGCUGCUCAACAGCCUACCGCUCUCCGUGACUUAGCUCUUAGCGCUGAAAUCGUUGCACACGAUGAACCCGGCUCAAGUCCCUUAACAUAGCCAUUCUGGCGGCGAACAUGUUGCACUUACCUAGCGAGGACUCAAGUCAUGAUCUAUCCAUCUGGCGGCGAACUAAUCGCACCUCACCCAACAAUGGUUUCAGUCACGACUCAGCCACCUGGCGGCACCCGUAUCGUACUUACCCAGCAAUGGUUUCAGUCAAUCCCGGCGGUCUGAUCCACAAUUGGCUUAACUAUCCGGCGGCGAAAUCGUCGCCCACGCCACGACAAUGGUUCAAGCCUCGGGCGGUAAGCCCCAUGUGCUCGCCCCCGAUCCUCCCUAGGUAUCAACCUCGGCGGCGAAAUCGUCGCACACGCCCUAGCCUUGAUACCAGGGUCAUCACAAGUUUUGGGAUUCCGGAAUCCGCUUCCACAGGUCGAGGGUCCAUAACCAACCCUAUGCUGUCGACCUAGAACAUCCUUGUCGUCGCUACCACUAUGCUCAACAACCUAGGUUCAAUGUCACUCUAGGUUUAUUACAUACGUAGCUUAGGUUCCAAUACUCUAGGUUCUAUAUCACCUCUACCUAGAUGUCAACUUCUAGGUUCACUUGUUCGAUCUAUGUUUACUAACACUAGGUUCGAUGCCAUACACACCUAGAUUUGUUCGACUCUAGGUUCACUUGAUCAACCUAUGUUCUUUAACACUAGGUUAGGUGCCACUCGAUCUACUUGACAUCCUAGUUGUCCAAUAGAGUAUCUAAUUGUCCUCUAUCCGGUUCUCUUGUCAAUCAACUCUAUUAAUUCUAGAGUUAUCAACCUAGUUUACGUGCAUAUCCUCACAACGCUAAUCAUGCGUUCUAUGAUCUCUAUAUCAUUUUAUAUGCAUCUACUUAGCAUUUUACCACAUGCAUCAUCUAUGUCAUUUUAUUAACAUGCAUCAAUAUGAAUUCAUUUUACUUAGACAUACAGGCGACCUAGUCGCUUCGGUAAGUACAACCCACCUUAGUUUGCUUUCCGAUUGCUUGUCGACACUUGCAAUCGGCCUCCCGCGGUACUCGACAUCCGGUUUGGCCCGAUCUCGCAGUUGCGCUCCAACCGCGCGCUGCUUUGCAGUUCCGAGAAUUAAAGGUCUUCGCUUUGUUGUUACAGUGCUCGGGACCCAAUCUCGCGAUUUAUGGACGUCGCCUCGGCCCUCCAGGCGAUAACAAAGCCGAAAACCCUUAUUUCGGCAAUAUCUUCUCGUAGGCUCGUCGGAUCGUUGAACCGACUUCGCCAACGCGUUUCGUUACCUAUCAAUUAGGUUUACAGAGGGUCAAAUGAGAUCAAACCCUCACAAAUACCAACACUCCAUUUUGGGUGCCCUAGAUGCUACUAUAGCCAAAUCCACCAAAUCGAUCUAUGAAAUGAGGGGAAUCUAUCUAGAUAGCAUGCUAGGGUUCCAAAUAAACUAAUUUUAGAGAUAAAAAAUCCAUCUCUAAUGAUCUACCAUGAGAGGGCUUGGAAGCUUACCUCUCCAAGAAGCCUCAACCAAGGAGAAGAUGAAGAGGAGGAGGAAGAUCUCCUUCUUAGUCCUCUUCUUCUUCUUCUUCUUCUCUUCUUUUUCCUCCCUUCUAUUCUUCUUCUCUUUCUUCCUCUUCUUCAUGCACAGAGAGAGGGAGCGGCUGAGGGAGAGUGAGGGGGAAAAUGUGAGGAGAGAGAGAGACCCCUCUCAUAACCUUCUAUUGUAACAAUAUGCAUACAAGUCCCUCAACUUUCCACUCUGUGCACUGCCCAGACUGGGCAAGACCCGCGCGGAGGGAUCCGUCUCUCCCUGCCUGGGACCGGUCCCAGAGGACCUUCCUCAUUUCCACGCGCUCGAGAAUCGGUCUCCCUGGCCCAGGGACCGGUUGCCUCGCGCGUUGCCGCAACCACCAGCCGAUGGGACCGGUCUCUCCUUGCCAGGGACCGGUCCCCGAGAGCAAACCCGCGCAGACCAUGUUCGGGAACCGGUCCCUCCCGCAAGGGACCGGUCCCCGAGAGCAGAUCCGCCCAGUGCAGGUUUUUGCAUCAUUUGCUCUCGCGGACUCCAUUCAAAUGCACUUUUUGGGUUUCGUGCCAUUCUGGCUUUUCCGAAGGCUACUCGCUCUACAGUUAGUCGAUCCUGGACGAAGUCCAACUCUCGGCUUUCGAGAAUUCACUUCGUCACACACGAUUUGAUGAAGGGGUUGAAUAGUAGUGUGAAGAGAUUGCACCUAAGGAAGGAGAAUUCUUAGUGAUGCAUAGAGCAGUCAUUAGUCCAAAGGAAGAUUGUAAUGAUGGGCUUCGAAACAAUCUCUUAAGAACUCCCAGUAGAUCCUAUGGCAAGGUGUGCUCUCUUGUUAUCGAUGAUGACAGUUGCUAGAAUAUUGUCUCAAAUAUGAUCAAGAAGCUCAACUUGAAAACGGAACCAUGUCCUAGGCUGUAGACAAUUGCAUGGUUUAAAAAGGCAAAAAGUAAAGGUUACCAAGUGUUGUCUUGUUUCCUUUUCCAUGGGUAAAACCAAGGAUUAAAGUGCCGUGGCACGGGGUUAUGCCGGAAACAUGCCGGCACAGUGCGUGUCGGGCUGUGCCGAUGCGUGCUGGUCAAAAAAAUAUAUGUGUGCCGAAACGUAAUGGCAUGAAAUAUUUAUUUUCUUUAGCAACAAAAAAUAUGCCUAUUAUUUAUUAUAUAUUUUUAUCAAAUCUUUUGAACUUUGUUGAGAAAAUUACCUACUAAUUUUAAGAAUAGAAGGUUUUGAGUUGUGCCAUCGGCAUGAGAGCUGUAUCGUGUCGAUAUCUUGCUAGCACGAUACGACACGGUGGAUACGGCCCGUGCCAAUAGGCACUUUAAUCCCUGGGUAAAACUUAUAAAAAUGAAGUUUGGUGUGAUGUAACUCCUAUGGAUGUUGGCCAUAUGCUCUUAUGUAGUUCUUGGCAAUUUGAUAGCAGUGUUAUUUAUAUGGGGGGUAAAGUUAGAAUUUUGGAGAAAAUAUUUUUCAAAACCCACGUGCAUCAUCGAGAUGGCAGACCACAAACCAUCUAAUAACAAAUAAACAAUAUGAACCAAAUUGUAAAUUCAUAAACAAAGAGUGAAAACUAAACAAAUCUAAAUAAAAUAAAGAUGCUUCAUUUAGUCUUGCAUCAGCCUCCAAGAAAUUAAUUGUCAAAGAUAUUCUAAUAUUCAUUAUGUUCAUUAUUAUAUUGUAUAUCUUUCUUUGUGACUUGUGCUACAUCUAGUUUAUCUAUAAUUUGCAUAUAAACUAUAUGCCUUCUUGAACCUUAGUAUAAUUGUUUGGCUUGACUUUUCAUUUGACUUUGACAUCAUUUAAACUACUUUUACCUAACAAAGCAGCUUGUCAGGCUCACUUGAAACGAUUGACCAAUUAUACACUUGUGUUUUGGCUUAAUUUCAUUGAUCGUGAAAUUGAUGCCAUAUUCCUAUCAACCAACAUAAAAUCUAUGAGGCUAAUAAAUGCCUAUGAAAGACUAUUAAUUGAAUGACUUCGAGAGACUCUAAAAUUCUCCUUAAAACCAUUCAUAGUAGGGGGAUGGUGGGAAAAUUUGAUUUUCUAGCUUUGUCCACAAAUGCAAGUUUGAAAAUAGAUUAAAAGAGUUUUCAUGUACAUAAAGAACCGAUGUCGAAAGUUUUACUCAGGGAUUCAAGUGCUGGCCUGUGGCGUAUGGCAUGGGGCAACACUUAUCGUGCCCCCAGUAUGGGGGCACGGUACAAGGGGAGUCUUACAGGACGCUAUACCCCAGUGGGUAUCGCGGCACAUUAUCAUGCCGGUUUUAUUUUAUUUUAUUUUUAUUUCUGUUGUGGUUUUUUUUUUCUCUUUUUGCACACUCACCCCUCUCCCUUCGAACGCACACUGUGCUACCUGUGGGGAGUGGGAAUCUUUUUCCUUUUUCUUUUGGUGGGCCUUUGUGUCCCCUUUUUUUUCUUUUGUCGCUUAAAAAAGAGGCAAACAAUUGCAAAUCGAAGAUUUACUUAUUAUGUAAGCAAAAAAGUUAUAAUUUAAAUUUUUGUUUAUGUAUUUUGAAUAUUUUUUAUUUGUAAAGCUCAUUUUUUGAAGAAAUAUAAAAUUAGGCAGUUUUUAAUCUAUAGUUUAUAAAAAGUUAAAAAUAGAUCUUCUUGAUUUAAUUAUAUGGUCAAAUUUUUAAUUUUUAAUUUUAAAAAUUUAAAAUUAAAAAAAUUUUAAUAUUUAAAACUAGGCCGAAAGCGGUGAAUGAUUUACCGCUUUUAGAAAGUGGUGAAAUUCACCUAACUUGUAUGUUUUCUACAUCAGAAUUUCGAUGAAUGUAUAGUAUUAAACACUAAAAGUAAUUUUAAUGCUUUGGAAAAAGCGAUGUAUGAUUCGUCGCAUUUAGAAAGCGGUGAUUCAUUCACCGCAUAGGCCUAAUUUUGUAAAUAAAUCUUUGUAAGGGCUAUUCUUAUUAUUAUAAGAUUUUUUAGUCUAUUAAUGAAAACGAUUUGGUUUGUACCGUCUGCUAUGACAUCCGCUAUAUGUUUUCCGCUAUGAGAUUGCCCAAAUGCUAUGUGCCUGCUACUUGCUAUUUACAGCCUUGUAAGGAAACAAAGAUAGCAUACAAUUGUAUAAAAUGUUUUCAACUUUACUUUUAACUUUUGUAUAAUCUCCUUAUAAAUGAGAUAUAAUUGCAAUUUCUUGAGAGUUAAGUAUUCUAUUGCAAAUUUGUUUACUUUAUUGAUGAAUGUAGAAUUGACUUUUGGGAUGAACUUUUUGAGACAAGGAAGAACUUCUUAGUAGAUAUUUUCUUUUGUUUGCCUUUUGGCAUCCUGAUUUAACCUUUUCAUUUAACCCUUUGCGAAGAGUUCCAACUUACCACUAUUUGAAUGAAGAAGUAAUUUUCCUGUGAAUGCAACUCAGCUUGACGUAUGAUCGUCUAAAGGCUCCUAACUUGUGAUUUGCACUCAAUUUAUGUCCUUUACUCAUGAUCUAGAAUGCAGCAAAUAGAAGACAUCGACAUGUUGUUUGCAUCAUUGAAUUAUUGGUUGUUACUAUUGGUUUCUUCUGUUCUAGUUUAGCUUUUACGUCCAACAAUUUGUAAUAGUUUUCUUAAAUGUACGUUUUCUGCAGCUUAUGGAUCUUUUAGCCUCGUGGAGAUCUUCUCUGACAAACUUCUUUCGUGGUAUAUUUUUCUUUACGUGAAAAAUUGCACUUAUAUUUUACUAUCUUUUACGGAUGAGUGCUGACAGUUUAGUUAUUUGAGACAAGCCCUGGAUUUUGUUAUUCCUCUACCCGUUAAUAUUUCAUUUUGCAACUGAAUGGCGACAUGGUUGAUAAUUAUGUGAUUUUUCCUUCCUUCUCCUUAUGGAUUCUUCACAUUUCCUAAGAUAAUUUACAAGUUUCUUAUCAAAACAAAUAUUACUUGUGUAUGUUAAAACUAGGAAGUAUCUAUUGUUGUAAUGCUUGUGUUUAUACCGAAUAUUCUUAGCAUCGCAACUUAUGGACAAAUUAUACUGCCAAAACCCAGGUUGUUAUGCUGUUAGGCAUUUGCUAGCUGCCGCUAACGCAAACUUUGGUUUAUUCAUUUGGACUCUUUUCAUUUUUAGUUUUCUUUUAGUUCUUUUUUACUAUAUAUUUCUAGUAAAGAACUAAUAUAAAAUAGAGAUACAAAUGCCCUGACCUAUUAGAUCUAGGCAAUACUAGUUGGUAAAGUGGUUAAGGAAGCAAAAUAAUAUGGUUUGAUAUGAUAAGAAAAGAUUUAGUCUUAUUUGUUUAGGAAAGGACAUAACUCAAAGUGGAAUUCAUUGGCUAGAACAGAUACAUGUACCUUACCCUAUAUAAAUUCUUUUAAAGAUUCACAUUACUGAUUCUAAGCUUUGAAAAAAGGCCUAUUUGAGUUGAGUAGAACAACACUAAACUAGUAAUAUUUAGUAGUUUUAAAAUUAUGGAAUUUGGAUGAUGUGUAUUGCUGGUUUCAAUUAAUGCAAGCUAACACUUCGUAGGGUAAGUGUAGAACAUUAUUACGUGUAGAUUAUGUGAACAUGAUCGGCAGCGAUUUUAGUAUACAACAUUUGAGUUGGUGUGGUAGCUCUAAUAUCUAGGUAUGGAUAUGUGCAACCUUGUUGCUGUAGGUUUCAACUAAUCAUAUUCAGUAUGACAAAAAGAACCAAUGUUGUUUUAGGGUACGGAAUUGGUAUCACAUUGGUUUGAACUAUUAAGUCUAACAAUUUUGGUCAAUGAUUUAAGAAACUAUCUACCUAUACGGAUGCUACUACUGCCGCAUCAGGUGUGAACUGAUCAUUUGAAUAAUUAGAACUCGCAAUAGACUCCAAAAGUUUUGGGGUGUUUGACGAAAAUAGACAAGAAAAAAAGCUGUCCUAGAUUUGGAAUUAGAAGUUGGCUCCGUCAAUAUUAUGAAAUUCACAAUUGUUUUGUGCCCAUGAUACAACGUCACGAACUUCCUCAUACAUAAUUUACUUCUAGUUUAGGAACCGUGAGAAGGUUUGCAUCCCAUACUAAGUGACAAAUUUGCUAAUGGAAGGGCGUAAAAUGUUACCCUCAUGCGAAUCCUUAGUUAUGUUGUCAUGUCUUAAAAGAUGGACAUUGGUGAGCUUUCAUAGUUCUCAGAUGUAUGAAAGCUUAAUUUGAGUUCACAUUUAAAUUCACAAUUGAAAUUAAUGAUCCACAAAGCUCUGGGUGGUCAAGUUUGGUUUGAGUCAAGACAGCAACAUCGUCCGAAGGGCAUAUCUUCCACAUACAGAUGUCGAUCGAGACUAUUAUUUGUUUUAUGUGUGCGGAUCGAGAAGGUCUAGUCAGAUUCUGGCAACGUAACUUAGUACGCGUCCUAGGGCAUUUUGGGGUUGUUUGGGCGUUCAAAAUCGCAGUCAAUAGUUUGACUUUCUAUCUAUAGAAAGUUUGACCAUGAUUAUCUUCUUUUCCGUAAAGAAGUAGGAUUUCAUCUUUUAGUCAAAUUUGAUGUACUUAAUAUGCUCUUCCCAAAUAUGAUACUGUUGGACCGACUUCCCAUAAAAGGAAAAUACGGAGUCCAAGGAGUAUCACUCUGAAUCGGGGUAGGAUUGUGGAUUCUGUUCGGGUUUUUAUAAAUAUAACUCCUGUAAUCUUUUUAAUUGAGGAAAUGAAAUUAAAAGGAAAUCUUUUUUUGUCUAAUAUCUCUCUCAUCUCUCCUCUAAUAUUCUACAUCUGAGCAUUUUUUACGAAAGAUCACAGACCCACUUACAAAUUGAAUUCACAUUUCAAAUCCAAAUCAAGUCAUAAAAUUCACAAUUUAAAUUUCAAAUUGGAAUUAAAGCUAAAGUUAAAUUUAAAACUAGAAUGCUUCUAGGAAGAGCUUGCUCACUGUAAGGAUUAUUACAAAGAUGAUUACUAAUCAAACACAUCAAUUUGACACUUCUUGAGUUUUGACAUGAUAUACUGUGCAAAUGAAACAGAGAAAUCCUAUAUUUCAAGAAAUCUGAUCAAUACAAAUAAAAUUAUGGACGCUUUAACAUUCUUUGUUAAUCUUGCAUAAUGUGAACCAAACGGCUCCUUACUGAUAUACAUUUUGUAACCAAUCUUGUAGAUUGGAUAAAGGAGGCCGAGGUAAGUAGCUUGAUAGCUUAUGUAAAACGUUUGUCAAGCAAAUUAUAUAAAUGAAUACCAUGGAAUUCACACUUUUAGGCUGCUGUACAUGGAUGAUCCAUUGCGGCUUCAUUAUCUAGACAUAGCCACAAGCUACAAGCAAACUAUGGGAUGUUGUGCAUCAGGACCUGGAGGCAAUGUUAUGUAAUCGAUGGUUUUCAUAACACUUCGUAUACAUAGAGGUAAGAAAGUUUAUUCAGGGAAAAAAACCUUUGGUUAGUGACUCGAAUAGUAGGUCGCUGUGAAAAAUAUGCAAUUGGUAGCCAUGAUGGCUAGCAGUGAAUUAACAUUGUUAGUCCUAUUUUAUUAUCAAUUUUCAUGAGCAAAAUAUGUUUAGUCUCUUAUGCUUGUUUGAAGUCAAAUUCAUGAAGUCAUGAAGUUUAUGAGUCUCCAGACCCCUCAAUAGUUAGGGAGGAUACUUAAUUAAUUUAACAAGGUACUCCAUUUGUGACCAAAUUUGUAUUUGAUUUAAGAUCUAGGGUUUGAGACCGUCUUGAUAUUGGUGGUGUCUUGAUUUCUUAGUAUUCAAAUUAGAAGGCGGACCUAUGUAAGAAAAGUGGCUUGUCCACGACUGACUAAUCCAAAUAAUACAUGAGUUUAAGGCUUGAUAGGUUGAGAUAAAAGGUGGAUGGGAUGAUGAUCGAUUAAUUGAAUAAAGUUUAUAAGUUUGGUGAGGACAUUCAAUCAAUUUGAUAAGGUAAUUUGGUAGUUGGU